rnacentral:lncRNA from 1 species
AUGAUAAAAUGCUAGAAAAUAUAAAUAAUAUAAUGGAUAAUUUUUCCACUGCCAUCAAGAAUCAAAUUAGCUUUAAUAAAAUGAUUGAAUCUCAGUUAAAUCAAAUAGCUGCUGCUGUUCCUACUACUAACCCCGGUAUACCAUCACAACCGGAAGGAUUAGAAUCUGCAAAUCUUGUAGACAUGUUUGAUGCAGGUAAUUGGAGUAACCCCGUCAAUGAAUUCUCUACUGACCUUCUGCCGGUCAAGAGAGGCGAUCCAGGACGCCCCAUCAUCCCGAUCUCCAUCGGCAUGGUGGACUUCCCAGAAGCACUCUGCGACUUUGGCUCUAGUGUCAACAUUAUACCCAUGGUACUCUAUGAAAAAUUCUUUACAUAUCCUUUACUAGAAACAACCAUGUGUUUGCAGUUUGCAGAUCAGACGAUAACUUUUCCAAAAGGAAUAGUGAAGAACCUUUGUGUCCGAGUUGGUACCUUAUAUGCCCCAGCAGACUUCGUAGUGGUAGAGACCGGAAAUGAUGAGAGGGCACCCAUCAUCUUAGGGAGGCCAUUCUUGAAUACCACGGGAGCUAUCAUCUACGCUAGUGCUGCCAAGAUCAGUUUCUACGUCAAAGGGAAGAAGGAGACAUUUUUCUUCAAGAACAAGACUACACAAAUUCAAGAUUAAUCCACACGUAAAUCAAGGAAGAGGACCAACAGGAGAAACAGGAACAAGCAAGUGUGGACCGAGUCAGCUAAGAUGGUCACUGUAGUUCAUGGAGGCCAAGAUCAUCAACUUAAGUCACCGUUUUUGACCAAGAAGGACGACCCAGGAAUGCCAAGCAUCUACUGCUCCAUAAAAGGAUACAACUUCUACAAGACGAUUUGCGACACCGGAUCGGGCGUCAACAUAAUGGCCGCAGUCACCUAUCGGCUCUUGUUCGGGACCAUGCCACUAAGACCAACAUACAUUCAGCUCUAGAUGGCAGAUCAGACAUUUCAAGAAGUUAAAAGGAAUAGUAUCUGAUGUCCCAGUCAAAAUAGACGAUCACUUUGUCUACACAGACUUUCAAGUUGUUGACAUGGGAGAAGACGAGUAUGAUCCACCCAUCAUCCUUGGAAGACCGUUCCUCAGCACCGUUAAAGCAAUUAUCUACAUUGGAACCGGAGAAGUCCAUAUGCACUUCCCCUCAGAGAAGGUACGCUGUUAUUUUACUGACCCUAACUAUAUUGUUGAAGAAUCUAAGCAGGUUAGAAAGAGACGCAACCGCAACCAGAGGAGGCAGAUCAUCAAGGACGGAUGGGCAAACUAUGAAGGAGAAGUUGUAAGAUCAGAAGAUGUUGAGUUUAAGCAGAAUUAUCCAGAGGAGAUUGAAGCACCGAGUCAGGUAUGGAAAAUGAAGAUAACUAUACAAGAAGAGGAGGCGCUGCCGGAAGUACCGACUACGCCACCCAACGAACCUCAGGACGAUUAAGAAAUUGGAGGGUCCUGUUCGGAGGACUUAAAAACACCGAACGCCUUGCCAAGAGGUAAACUUGGUAGUUAUCCUUUCCCUUUCAAUUAUUUCAAAUAGUUUACUUAGUUAAUCAUGUUUCAUACUAUCUUAAAAAGAAAAUAAAAAUGUGAAAAAACUGUAAGCCCCAUGUGAGUAGACGAGUGGCAUAAAACCCAUAAGUACAUUCACUGUGGUGGCAUAAAAAUAAAAUAAAUAUUUUUUCUGCUUUAUAAAAACAAAAAAAAUAUAAAAACAGGGAGUAACAAUUAUUAAGGAGUCUCAACAUGAUAAAGGCUAGAUAUUUAUGCUAACACUUAAUACGUUCCACAAGCUUUGUUGUCUAUUUGAGCUCCACAGAAUUUAAGAAUCAAGAAGACUAGCAGACGGAGGACAUUCUAAUCGCUGUCAGAAUGCUGCUGACUUUCAAAUACACCUCUGCCACCUGCUAGCUACAUCAAGAGAAAUUACGUCAAAAUUCAGCUUGUGGGAGAGCACCCCCAUUUAUCUCGAUAAGUAUUUCUAUCUAUCUUUAUACUUAUAUUAUUUUAGAAUAUAAAUACACAUAAACUAUGGAAAACCAAAUAAAGAGUUUGUGCUUAUUUAUAUAUGUCUUUUUGCUUAGUGUGUUUAAUAAAUAAAUAAAGUGGCUAUGCUAAUCUGUAUCUAAAUAAAACUUAAGCAUGGAUAUGAUAAAUAGUUGCUCUGCCUAAUUUGCAAAUUUUAAGUUCUCUCUCAAGUUUAGAUAUAACUGUUAUAAUUUAAAGCUUGCCCUAGACCUAAACUUGUGGGAUGAAAACUUGAUCUGAAGUCUAAGUUGUUAACGGAUAUGAUAUGGGAAGGUUGAGCUGCUGUUUAUCUGUUCCUAGAGAUGCUAGAAUUCUGGAGAAUUUUAUCUUUGAAAAUCUUUAAAAUGUUGCAUGAUGAGUUCCUGUAUGAUGAGAGUUUAAAUUCCUACCACAGCCAUAUAUACAUGCUUGCUAGACUUUGAGCCACACAUUUAUUAUUUACUGCUUAUGAGCAUUGAGUGUGGUCAAGCUGUGUAGACCCUUAGGAGCUUGUCAUGUGGUUAAAUCAAGAUUUCACUUGCACGUUCACUCAUAUAUGCUACUUCUACUCCGGAAGUACCAUCGACAUAUAUCCACCCAUUCCAUCUCCAGAAUCACCCAAAAAUAUUCUACUCCUAAUCCGGGAGAGAAUAACCAAAAAUAUUUCUGCUUUUCCCUUGUGAAAUAAAUGCUCAAGUUAUCUUGUUACUACCACUUGCUAUAUUAUCUCAAGAGAUGAAUGCUUUGAAAAAAAAAGAUACGAGAAAAUAAAAAGGAGCAAGUGCUCGGAACCUCGAAAGAAAAGAAAAAGUAAGACGAGAGGUAAAAAUGGACAAGUGUCUGACAGUAGAAUUAGGGGUACAAGAUAUCCACCUCAGAGACAAGAAAAAGAUAGAGCAUCUCAUUCUCAUCAUAAGGUUUCAAAAGCAAGGAAGGUAUGUAUCCCCUCAAAGAGCAAAGUAGAAUUAGACUUCCACCACCAUUGUUUUCAUCAUUAUUAUCACCAUCAUCACCAUACACCAUUCAUUCACCACACAUGCACAUCUUGAUUUGGCUUAUUGAUUUGUUUCUUUGGAUCCAUGGUUUGACUAUGCAAUAAAUGUCUUGUAAGUAUGUAUACUUUAUCUCCCACCUAUGAGCUCCAGAUAUUAAAGCCUUAUUAGAAUAGGGUGAGAGAGAAGGCAAUGUCACUAUGCCUUAUACCACAAAUACCACAUAUCUUGAGAGAAGGCGUAUACCAUCACUGCCUCGGUAAGGAUCCAAAAAUACCACAAAAGAGAGACCUGAGAGAAUCAUACAAGGAAUUUCUGAGUUUUAUUUGAAAAUCUGCAAAAAACCCCAGAGCUAUAGCUGAUCAAGAAUAAGAGACAUGGCACUUGGCUAGACUGUUCUAUCUUUUAACUGCUCAAGAUGGAAGUGACAGUUACAAGUCCCAUGGUGAAGGUAAAGUAAGUAAGUUUUAUGUCUUGACAGUUUACUCUAACUCAGAGAUGAGAUCUUAUUUAAAAAGCAUGUGUACAGUCAAAUUUUAAAGAUAUUGCAACUACUUAUGAUCCAUAGCUGAGUCUAUCCUUGCUCAGGGACGAGCAAGAGGUAAGCUUGGGGGAGUUUGUUGACGGUCCUUAAGUAUCAAAUUUAAUUAUUAAAUAAAGAAAGAAAAGGAUCCAAAUGAAAUCAACAUCUAGACUUAGGGUUUUAUCUAACAGAAUUCCACGAGUUUUGGUGUUUGUCUAUUUCUGCAGGGGGUUAUCAGGAAAUAUGGAAGAAAGGCCCACAUGUCGGGAUUACGUAAAGAUAUUAACGUGCUGCGCAAUUAUCUUACAUCUAGAAGACUCUAGAAGCCACGAGACCGAAGCGGAGGCGAAACGGGGCCUGACCCUGGGCGGCCGCCCAGUUGGUCAGGGCGCCCGCCCUGCCCCUGAGUCCAAUCAGGACUCUGCUUCGUGGGAGAUCUCCACCGACCUAAAGGAUGAAUCUAAACCAUACAAUCUAAGUCGGUUUGAUCCAAUGGCCCAUAUUCACUUGAAGGGACUAUAAAACCAGACCCCCUGGCCCCUGGAGGAGAGAGCCUCUCAACCCUAAUUCAUUGUUCCAUCAAGGGAGAAGAAGCCUCUGAUCAAGAUUAGAGCCACCACAUCAAUUAGACAUCUAGAUUAGCAUAGCUACAUAGGAUUAGAACUAGAAGGAGUCAAUCUUCGAUUGGUUUCCGGAUCUGUCAGGAGGAUUCUUGGUAAUUCUCUAAUUGUGCUUCUAAUUGCUUUCUAAUUGUCUUUGUUCUUCAAUAUUAUGAAUAUGACUUUGUUCUACUUCAAGAUUAUAUUCAAGAUUAUAUUGUUCUUAGUUUAUCAUAGUUAUGUACUUGGCUUAGUUAGAUUCGAUCUAUAUACAUGCUUAGGAUCGUAUAGCGUUUAUCCAUCGGAUCCAUGGGUAAAUGAUAGAUAUUGUGUAGGCGUGGUGCUUAUACCGUAUUUAUCUGCGAUUGUACCCAAUAUGCCAGAUCGUGGGGUGGUUCGUGAUAGUGACAGCUUCAUUGAUUCUUAUAUAGUCCCCCUCUCGUGUAUUGGGCUGGCAGAGCAACAUUAUUACAGGGGAGUGAUUGCUAUGUUUCUCAUAUUCCUUGCUAAUAUCACUAUGCAUGGGCGUAGUCUUGUCUCGCAAUGAUUGCUAAGUAUGCUUGCACUAACUAUGAUAAUGCUAGACUAUAUAGUUAAGAAUAACUUAGGGAAUAUUCUUGUAGUUUGUUCUAAUACCAUGCUAAUGACUUUCUAGAGUAUCUAAUUGAGGUGCUUAUCAUAUUAAUUAAUGGCUAGAUCAGAUUAGUUAUCCUUGUCACUAUUAUUAUUUCAUAUAUCUUUUAUGUGACACUUAUCCCUGUAUGAAGAGUUAGAUAUAAUGUUCUCAAUUAUACAUGCAAUGAUAGAUGCUCAAUCUCAUAUUUUAUUCUGUAAUCAUUACUGAUGAUUUCUAAUCCCUUCCCAGUGGUAAAAAUAUAAAUAACGAUACCUGGAAUACUUCCCGGUUAAAAUGCUGCAUCGGUAUUAAUCUGUGCGCUUGCAGAUCCCAUUCAUUAUUUCUUUAGAAGAGCAAUUGCAUAUUUCAAUACCGCGUCUCUUAUAUCAUGCUAGGGAUGACAACUUGGCUUAAGUGGUGUGAGGGAUAGGUUUGGUAUUUUUGGCACCGUUACUAGAUUUAGAGAACUUAGUCUACUUUUGGUAAUGAUGUUAAGAAUACCCAACAAGACUCAAGGUUAUCUCAGCAAACCGUCUUUCUCCCCGGCAACGGCGCUAGAAAUGCUUGUUGAUAUUUGGGAACGCAAUAAGGAAUUGAUCCGCAAGCGCACGGAUAUCGGUGAGCACUUCACCCGGGAUGUUAUCUAGAGUAUCAUAUUUAUAUUUUUACCACUAGGAGAAAGAGUGCAUCUGACUAACCCAGUCUAUUAUUACUAACCUUUAGGCUACAAAGAAUGUCUCUCGAUGUGAGCGAUGUAUAGAGAAGACUACAACCCUAAUGUCGUUCUAACCUUGGUAAGGAUGAUCUACUGUUCUAUUGGGGAGGCUCACGGAAUCUAGACACCAUAGAGGAUGUUCAACCCGCACCUGUAAACCCUAUUCAUCCUGCUAACGAGAUAUGGUCUGCAAAGGUAACUCGAAAAUGUCACAUUCCUCGCUACUACCACAGUCUAGCUAGUCAGGGAAUAUCUAUGAGUAUCCUAGCCCAAACACCAUUUGUACGCUAGAGAUGAUUACUCUAAACUCUACGCGAAGAGAUUAAAGUAAACUCAUAAACCAAAGAACAAUAAAACAAGAACUUACUAGAAUUUAGAAGUCGAAAUACUGAAGAAUCCUAGGAACAAGCUUCGGGUUAGGAGAACUUGAUCCCGCAGGUACAACCUCGGAGUAGACACCGACAGGCCGGGCUUCCUCCGAUCUACACCUCCACUCUAUCUCUCUCAAUCUAGUAGAUCUAGUCUACUCUCACAUUGGAUGCUAAGCCCUAAGUCUAUUUAGAGGAGAGGUUAUCCUUCGAGGGCACCUCUCAACUCUAUGAUGAACUUGUUCUCCUCCAGGGGCCAGGGGGUCUGCUUAUAUAGUCCCCUUAGGUGAACGUGGGCCGUCGGAUCAAACCGACAUUGAUUGAACGGUUUUCCUUGAUCCUUUAUGUCGGUGGAGCGUGAUCUGCAAAGUUGGCUGUGAUGGCCACAACACCAGGGCGGGAGCCAUAGGGGGGAGGGCAGGCGCCCUGCCCCCGGGCCCGAUCACCUUCCCCUUCGUUCCCAUGGCUUCUGGAGUCUUCUAGAUGGUAGAAAAUUGCGCGGUGCGUUAAUACCUCUAUGUAAUCCCGACAUGUGGGCCUCUCUUCCUUAUUUCCUAAUAACCCCCCUACAGAAACAGUUAAACAACAAAACUCAUGGAAUUCUAUCAGAUCAAACCCAAAUUCUAGGUGUUGUUUGCAUAUUGGUCCUUCCUCUUGUUUAUUUGAUAAUUAAAAUUGAUACAUAAGAACCGUCAACAAGCUCCAGAUGGUAGAUCAGACAUUCUGAAAGGUUGAAGGUAUAGUAACUGAUGUCCAUAUCAAAAUAGACGAUUAUUUUGUCCAUACAGAUUUUCAGGUUAUUGACAUGGGAGAAGACGACGCAACCGCAACCAAAGGAGACAAAUCAUCAAGGACGGAUGGGCAGACUACGAAGGAGAAGUGGUAAGGUCUGAAGACAUACAGCUUGAACAGAACUGUCCUGAGGAGACCGUAGCACCGAGUCAGGUGUGGAGAGAGAAGAUAGUUAUACACGAAGAGGAGGCACCGCCGGAACCACCGACUACGCCAUCCAGCGAAUCCUAGGAUGAUUGAGAAAACGGUGAGUCUUGUUCGGAGGACUUAAAAACACCGAACGCCUUGCCAAGAGGUAAACUUGGUAGUUAUCCUUUUCCUUUCAAUUAUUUAAAAUAGUUUGCUUUGUUAAUUAGGUUCAUGUCAUCUUCUAAAGAAAGUAAAAAUGUUAAAAAUAUUAAGCCCCAUGUGAGUAUGCUCAUGGCAUAAAACCCAUAAGUACAUUCACUCUGGUGGUGUAAAAAUAAAAUAAAUAUAUUCCUAUCCUAUAAAAAUGAAAAUAUAAAAAUAAAUUUAUGAUCCUACCAAAGAGAGUAAUGUUUAUUAGAGGAAGCUCAACAUGAUAAUGGCUAAGAGAUUUUAUUCUAACACUUAAACAAUUCCACAAAGCUUUGUUGUCUAUUUGAGCUCCGCAGAAUUCAAGGAUCAAAGAAGACUAGCAGACGGAGGACAUCCUAAUCGUUGUCAGGGUGCUGCCGACAUUCAAAUACACCUCCGCCACCUGCUAGCUACAUCAGAAGAAAUUACGUCAAAAUCUAGCUUGGGGGAGAGCACUUCCAUUUAUCCAGCUAAGUGUUCUACUCAUGUUUAUACUUUACUCAAAUAAUAAAAAGAUGCAUAAUCAUAAAAACCCAAAUAAAGAUUUUGUGCUUAUAUAUAUAUAUAUAUAUCUUUGCUUAGUUUGCUAAAUAAAUUAAUAAAUAAAGUUUGCUAUGAACCCUCAUGAUAAGCUCUCACACGGAAAUAAUGAAUAGUUGCUCUGCCAUGACUAGUUCUCAAAAUUAAAAUCUCUCUCAAGUUUAGGCAUGACUGUUAUUAAUUAAGAUUUGCUCUAAACCUGAACUUGUGGGAAGAGUACUUGAUCUAAAGUCUAAGUCGCUAACGGAUACGAUAUGGGAAGGUUGAGCUGCUGUUUAUCUGUUCCUAGAGAUGCUAGAAUUCUGGAGAAUUUUAUCUUUGAAAAUCUUUAAAUUGUUGCAUGAUGAGUUCCUGUAUGAUGAGAGUUUAAAAUCCUACCACAGCCAUAUAUACAUGCUUAUCAGACUAUGAACCAUACAUCUACUUUUUACUGCUUAUGAGCAUUGAGUAUGAUCAAGCUGUGUAGACCCUUAGGAGCUUGUCAUGCGGUUAAAAUCAAGAUUCACUUGCACGUUCACUCAUACAUGCUGCUUCUACUCCGGAAGUACGCAUCCACAUACAUCCACUCAUUUCCAUAUCCAGAUUCACCCAAAAUUAUUCUACUCCUAUCUAGGAGACAAUAGCCAAAAAUAUUUUCCUAUCCCUGUUAUUCCCCGUGAAAUAAAUGCUCGAGAUAUUUUGGUUACUACCACUUGCUACAUUAUUCCACAAGGGUGAGUGCUCUGAAAAAAGGUGAAUACGAGGAAAUAAAAAGGGGCAAGUGCCCGAAACCUCGAAAAAAGAAAAAAGAAAAAGUGAGACGAGAGGUAAAAAGUGACAAGUGUCCGACAGUAGAAUUAGGGAUACAAGAUACCCACCAGAUAGAAAAGAAAAAAUAAAAUAUAGAGCAUCUCAUUCCCCUCAAAAGUCUCAAGUGCAAGGAAGGUAUGUACCCCCUCAAAAGUGCAAAAGUAGAAUUAGACUUUCACCAUUAUUUUCACCAUUAUCACCAUUCAUUCGCCACACAUGCACAUCUUGAUUUGACUUAUUGGCUUGUUCUUUUAGAUCCAUGAUUUGACUAUGUAAUAAAUGUCUUGUAAGUAUGUAUUAGCUGUCUCCCACCUAUGAGCUCCAGAUAUCAACACCUUAUUAGACUAGGGUGAGAGAGAAGGCAAUGCCACUAUGCCUCAUACCAAAAAUACCACAUACUUUGAGAGAAGGCAUACACCAUUACUGCCUUGGUAAGGAUCUAGAAAUACCACAAAAGAGAGACUAGAGAGAGUCAUACAAGGAAUCUCUGAGUUUUAUUUGAAAAUCUGCAAAAACUCUAGAGCUAUAGUUAAUCGAAGAACAAGAGACAUGGCGCUUGGCUAGACCGUUCUAUCUUUUAACUGCUCAAGACACAAGUGACGGUUGCUAGCUCCAUGGUGGAAGGAAAAAUUAGUAAUUUUAAUUCUUAACAGUUUACCCUAACCGAGAGAUGAGAUCCUGUUUGAACGCAUGUGUACCUUUAAGACAUGAAACCACUGCAGAAACUCUUGAGUCCAUCCUUGCUCAGGGACGAGCAAAGGUUAAGCUUGGGGGAGCUUGUGGACGGUCCUUAAUGCUCACAUUUAACAAUCAACUAAUCAUGGAAAAGGAUCCAAAUGCAACCGACACCUACACUUAGGGUUUUAUCUGACAGAAUUCCUAAGUUUUGGUGUUUGUCUAUUUCUGCAAGGGGUUAUCAGGAAAUAUGGAGAAAAGGUCCAUACGUCGGGUUUACAUAGAGAUAUUAACGUGCACCGCAAUUAUCCAACAUCUAGAAGAGUCCGGAAGCCACGGGAGGCCGAGCGGGCUCGAGGGCUGGGCGCCCGCCCUCCCCCUUGGGCGCCCGCCCUGCCUUGGUGACCAAUGAGGGCAGGUCUCGCGGAUCGUGCUUCACCGCCUUUAAAGAUCAAGGAAAACCGUGCAAUUAAGGUCGGUUUGAUCCGACGGCCCACAUUCAUUUGGAGUGGCUAUAUAAGCAGACCCCCUGGCCCCUGGAGGACACACCUCUUCUAUAGAAUCAAAGCUAGGGUUUCAAUUAUUCAUCUAAGUAGAGAGGAUCCCUCUAGUUCAUCUAGUUCUAGUUUUAGUUCAUCUAGUUCUAGUUGUAAUCUAGAAAAUAGGGAGAGCGAAGAGGAGAGCGGAGAAGGAGCCGAAUCUGUCGGGUCUUCCUCAACAUUGUACUUUUGCAGCAACUGGUUCGUUCUUCAUCGUUCUCCAAGUUCUUCAAUUCAUAAUUCCUGAGUUCUUUAAUUACUUUUAUUUACAUUCAAGCUAUUUAUUGGAUUCCCGCUUGCAUCAAGUGCUCUAGUCUUUGAAAUGCUGGAGUAGUAAUUAAUAGAUUAGACAUGGUGUUUAGUCUUGCAAUUACCUGAAAUUACACCCAAUCAUGUGGAUUGUUGUGGUAGCCCUAGGGUAGUGAUAGCCCUAACCGUCGACGUUUUCCACCUCGUUCGGAUCGGUGUUUGUAGGACCGUAGUCAGAGCUUCCUAGCCCCCUUGUUAUCUCUUUCUGUGGUUAGUGUUCUGAUGUCCUGAAAUAAAUAAUUUUUGAAGUAAUUCUUGAUUCUUAGAUCAGCUAGAGAACUCUCAGGAAACUUCCUCUCUUCCCACCAAAAAAUAAUUAUAUAGUUAUCCUUGGGCAAUCUUGAAUCUUAAUUAGUACACUCACGUUCUCUGUGGAAAAUCGAUACUCUGGAAUACUCCAGGGUGAAAGCUACAUCGGUAUCCGUGCGCUUGCGGAUUUUUUCUGUCUACGUUUAAAAUACCCAACAAAAACCUAGUAAUACUCUAGGUAAAAUGCUACAAUGUUAUAAUUAUCUGUCCACUUGUAGAAUCAUUUUUAGUUUAUAUUUAUCUUUAUUUAUUUCUGCCUAGUCACAUAAAAUGAUAAGAUUUAGUACCAGAGUUUGUUCCUAGCUUAACAAUUAGGGAUGACAACCUAGUUUCAUAGUUAGGGGUAAGGGUGUAGAGGCUAAUGGCUAGUUGAUAAACGCAAGUUAAUUAAUACCAACAUUUCUAGUGUAAUUGCGUGGGAUAAAGAUUUGGGUUUAAUUACAAUGAUGUUAGAAAUGCCAACAAGCAAUUUUGGCGCCGUUGCCGGGGAAGGCUAAUAAACUUAGCAGAAGUAUUCAUAACUGUUGACGAUCCUUAAGUACCAAAUAUAAUCAUCAAAUAAAUAAAGAAAAGGAUCCAAAUGCAACCAACACCCAGACUUAGGGUUUUAUUUGAUAGAAUUCCACGAGUUUUGGUGUUUGUCUAUUUCUGCAGGGGGUUAUCGGGAAAUAUGGAGGAAUUGGCCUCAUUCGGGUUAACAUAGAUAUAUUAACGUGCCACGCAAUUUUCUAUCAUCUAGAAGACUCCAGAAGCCAUGGGAACGAAUGGGAGGCCGAGCGGGCCUGGGGACAGGGCGCCCGCCCUCCCCCCUUGGGCGCCCGCCCAGGUGUCUCGGCCAAUCAGGCCCCGCCUCGCGGAUUAUGCUCCACCGACCUAAAGGAUUAAGGAAAACUGUGCGAUUAAGGUCGGUUUGAUCCGAUGGCCCACGUUCAUUUGGAGGGGCUAUAUAAGCAGGCCCCCUGGCCCCUGGAGGAGGGCAAUCCCAUUAUUUAUUAGCAUAUUUUCCAGAGAGGAUUCAGAGAGAGAGGUAUCUCUAGGGUUCCAACCUCAUAGGGCUUAGCAUCCAAUGUGAGAUUAGAAUUAGUUCUUCUAGAUUGAGAGAGAUAGAGUGGAGGUGUAGAUCGGAGGAAGCCCGGCCUGUCGGUAUCUACUCCGAGGUUGUACCUGCAGGAUCAAGUCUCCUAACCCGAGGCUUGCUCCUAGGAUUCUUCAGUAUUUCAACUUCUAAAUUCUAGUAAGUUCUUUGUUCUUAUUGUUCUUUGGUUUAUGAGUUUACUUUAAUCUCUUCUGGUAGAGUUUAGAGUAAUUAUUGCUAGCGUAAACAUGGUGUUUGGGCUAGGGUACUCAUAGAUAUCCCCUAUCUAGCCGGACCGUGGUAGUAGCGAGGAAUAUGACAUUUCCGUAGCUACCUUUGUAGCCCACAGUCCCGUUAGCAGGAUCGGUAGGGUUUGUAGGUGUUGGUCGAACAUCCUUUGUGGUGUCUAGAUUCCGUAAGCCUCCCCAAUAGAACAUUAGAUCAUCCUUACCAAGUUUAGAACAAGAGUGCGGUUGUAGUCUUCUCUAUACAUCGAUAACAUCAAAUCACAUUGUUUGUAACCUAAAGGGUAGUAGCAAUAGAUUUGGUUAGUCAGAUGCACGCUUUCUCCGAGUGGUAAAAAUAUAAAUACAAUACUCUGGAUAACCUCCCGGGUGAAGUGCUCACCGAUAUCCAUGCGCUUGCGGAUCAUUUCCUGAUGGCGUUAACAAAUAUCAACAAGCAUUUCUGGCGCCGUUGCCGGGGAGAAAGACGGUUUGCUGAGAUAACUUUGAGUUUUGCUAUUAUCUUGUAUUAUACUUUUAUUCUUUAUUCUUUUUAUUUUUUCCAUCUUUAUGCAUAACUCAAAUUCCACACCUAUUAUUGAAUUUUUUGCACCUUCGGAGACCAGCCAUAGACCAUGGGAGUCAACAAGUCCUUUCUUUGCCCCUAAUUAUGAUCUGUGUCCGGAGUUGAUUGUAAUAGGUCAAAACCAACACUUUUCUAUAGCCAAGGUCCUAUCUUUUAGUCAAGAAGAUAAUGAACUUUUAGCUACACCUAGGGAAUCUUUUAAUCUUUCUAUAAAUUAUGGUUUAGACCUAGCCCUGCAAGACCAUGUUUUUCCUUGAUAUUUUCACAUUGGUCUUAAUCAUAUAACCUUCCAGAGCUUUUCUUUAUUUACCUGUUAGUGGACAUCCUUCUUGCACUAGUCUUCAAUAAAAAAUCCUAGAGAUAGAGAAGGAAUCAACUCCUAGACGAGGAAAGGAAGUUUCAAUAGCCGAUUUCCAUAUAUUUCAAUCCCAUGAUUCGGCUAUCCAACCCAAACUAGUAGUGCUCCAAAAUCAUAUAAGGGAAGAAGAAAUUCUACCUUUGGAAAUUCAUUUUGGGAUGAGCUUAAACUUCGUGCUUCAUAAUAGACCUUUGAGUGAAUUUAGCCUGAACCUUACUAAGAAGGGAUCUCUUAGAAAGCAUCUCAAAUCCAAUCCCUUUGAUGGACAUCUAGAAAGACUCAAGGAUGGCAUCUUAAGUGAUGCAAUAGAAGGAGAGCGAAGCCAUUUAGAAGACAAACUCAUCUUCUCCCCCUCUACGCCCACUUUUGAUGACUCAUUCGAACCUAUCUUUAAACCCAUCCUUGAGCCUAAUAAUUUCUACUAUGCUCUUUCUCUUGAACCUCCCGAUGAUCCUAUGAAUCUCUCUAGACAUCACAUGCAUAAGAGUCACCAAGACCACAAGGAGGAUCGAGAAGAGCAACAUCAAAGGCUAGAGGGCAUUAAAAAUCCCUGUGGCAUCACCAUGAAUGGAUGGAUAAAACAAACUUGAGAGACAAUCCUAGAGGAAUUUUAAGCAUUCAUGAAGAAUCAUCCUUGGAGUUUGAGAAUAAGAGAAACAAUAGUGAGCAUGGAAGUUAUUUUAUAAAUACCUCACCAAGUCAUUGCUCAUAUAAAACAUCUCCCCAAUCAAUUGGUCUCUCCAACCUUACUACAUUUGAGAUCUCCAACCCCCUUUCUAUUUAUAAAAACUUUAAAGGGGUGGUUAUCGAUGCAUAUGUCUAUAAUAAAUAUUGCAGAUAUCGUUGAGUCGAUCUUGAUAUAGGCACUCUUAGGUUGGUGUUGGAGGGGAAACCACUUCACCAACAUAAUUUGAUGGUUUCCCAAGGACAAGCUUAGUGUCAUAAAACAAGCACUUAUCAGGUCAUUGUUGACGGUCCUUAAUGCUCACAUUUAACCAUCAACUAAUCAUGGAAAAAGACUUAUAUGCAGCCAACACCUAGACUUAGGGUUUUAUCUCACAGAAUUCCACGAGUUUUGGUGUUUGUCUAUUUCUGCAGGGGGUUAUCAGGAAAUAUGAAAGAAAGGCCCACACAUCGGGUUUACAUAGAGAUAUUAACGUGCCGCGCAAUUUUCUACCAUCUAGAAGACUCCAGAAGCCACGGGAACGAACGGGAGGCCGAUCGGGCCCGGGGGUAGGGCGCCCGCCCAAGUCCCUUGGGUGCCCGCCCAGCUACAGUAACCAAUCAGCUUCAACUUCGCGGAUCGUGCUCCACCGACCUAAGGGACCAAGGAAAACCGUGCAAUUAAUAUCGGUUUGAUCCGACAGCCAGAUUCAACUGAAAAGACUAUAUAAGCAAGGCCCCCUGGCCCCUGGAGAUCAUACCUCUUCUACAGAAUCAAAGCUAGGGUUUCAAUUAUUCAUCCAAGUAGAGAGGAUCCCUCUAGUUCUUAUAGUUCUACCUCUAGUUCAUCUAGUUCUAGUUCUAGUUCCUCUAGUUCUAGUUCUAGUUCCUCUAGUUCUAGUUCUAGUUAGUUCUAGUUGUAAUCUAGAAAAUAGGGAGAGAGAAGAGGAGAGCGGAGGAGGAGCCGGAUCUGUCGGAUCUUCCUCAACAUUAUACUUUUGCAGUAUCUGGUUCGUUCUUCAUCGUUCUCCAGGUUUUUCAAUUCAUAAUUCCUAAGUUCUUUAAUUACUUUUAUUUACAUUCAAGUUAUUUAUUGGAUUCCCGCUUGCAUCAAGUGCUCUAGUCUUUAUAAUGCUAGAGUAGUAAUUAAUAGAUUAGACGUGGUGUUUAGUCUUGCAAUUACCUAGAAUUGCACCCAAUCCUGCGGAUUGUUUUGGUAGCCUUAGGGUAGUGACAGCCCUAACGGUCGACGUAUUCCACCUCGUUCGGAUCGGUGUUUGUAGGACCGUAGUCAGACCUUCCUAGCCCCCUUCUCAUCUCUUUCUGUGGUUAGUGCUCUGAUGACCCGAUAUAAAUAAUCUUUGAAGUAAUUCUUGAUUCUUAGAUCAACUAGAGAACUCUCAGGAAACUUCCUCUAUUCCCACAAAAAAUAUUCAUAUAGUUAUCCUUGGGCGAUCUUGGAUCUUAAUUAGUACACUCACAUUCUCUGUGGAAAAUCGAUACUCUGGAAUACUCCUGGGUGAAGGCUACAUCGGUAUCCGUGCGCUUGCGGAUUUUUCUGUUUGCGUUUAAAAUACCCAACAGUCGUAACACGAACUUUUAAUUAUUAGCAACAUUGCCUUGUGUAUUGAGCAUAUAAAGAUAAUUGUAGAAAUAUUCCUUCGGGUAUUCGUGUCACUAACCUUUCUAGGAUUGGAGCAAGAAAAUCCAAGGAAUGACAAGCGCAAGGUAUACCUAACUAAUCAUCAUGCAACAUUGAAUUAAAUUCAUCCAAUCUUGAAUUGCAAAAUUCAAGCUUGGGGGAAAUACCUUACAUAAGAACAUCAUUUGCCAUGUUGCUAUGUUGGUUGUCCCUGCUUUUGAGGCAUGCUCAAUUUUUCUAAACACUAAACUUAUUUUUCAUCUCCACCUGAGUAGAUCUCUAUAAAUGCUGUCAUGCUACCUUUGUCUAUUCAUAAGCAAGUGUUGGUUUGGAGGUACUCGACAUACUUCCAUUGGCAUUUAAAUUAAGCGUGGUGCUUAGGUUAAAUAGCCUUCCUUAAUCUGAUUAGACAAGGAGUCUAGUUUGGUUAUUGAACUAAAAACUGCUUGAGUAGAUAUUGGUAUAUUUUGUCGGACUAACCCCUGCAGGAAAACUUUCAAUAUCAACCUGGGAAGUCCUGAGAUACAAACUCACACUGGAGAUAAAGGAGACACAUGAAGUCUAACGAUUUGCACAAGGAAGACAUAGCUCAUUCAUCAUAGAGAGAUGAUCAAUGGAACAAGACAAAGAGUGCCACAAACACGGUGCACAACCGCUAAGAAAGGAAAGCUUCCACAAGGUAAUACUGUACCAUCACUCUUCAAGUAAGGUAACAUCUUAAGGUACUUGACUAUCACUUUUAUAAGCUUCUCCUUGGUUCUGGCGUUCACAUGAAUAAAAGAGACAAACAUGUAUGAUUUACAACUCUAGAUUAACCAAUCCAAUCGAUUCAAUAUGUUUAGUCCUUCCACCUUUGUGAUCCCACAAUCCUAAUCAUAUGAGCUAAAAUGUUGCACAUUCAAUCUUUGGAAGAUAUAAAAAAACAAGAAUAUAGAUAGGUUAUCUUUCCAUUAGGUCGAGCGAUCUGAUCUGAAAAAUGUUUUAAAUGCUAUACUCAUGAUCUUAUUAUCCAUCAACUUUGUCUUGCUCAAUAUGCUUAAGGUUAGAGAAGAACAAAUACACUUUUGUUUCUGUUGGUGUUUUUCACCAACAGGGCCCAUGCACUUGAUCUCUGCCUUGUCUCUAUGAGCAAGUACACUUCGAGCAAAAACCUAAAGGAGUUUUACAACUCCCAAAUUCCACCAAGUGAAGGACUUGGAUCUACGAGCACAAACACACUGAGCAGGAUGCUGCCAAUACCGCACCUCGAACUGCUGGACAAACGAAGAACAUGGGUGACACCUUAUCAAGAGGUGCAGAUGUUAAGGCCCACACCUAAUCAAAUGAUGCACCUAAAGGAUGAACAUGGUAAGAAGUCUUGUCCAGAAUACUUAAAAUGUUGGAUCCUUGCCGGAAGGUAAAAUCAGUAUUUAUCCAUAUUUAUCUUUUCUGCAUUCCUUUUCCUUUUUAUUCCAUCACUUACAUUAGCAUAUUUACUUUUCCACAUUAGCAUUAGAAAAGAAAACAAAAAUAUUUGUUCGUUGCACUGCAUCAUAAAAUCUAAAGCCCAAUGUGAGUAGACUUGUGGUUUAAAACCCAUAGGUAUAUUGACAGUGGUGGCAUAAAAUAAAUAUGUUUUCAUCUUACAAUAAAAAUAUAAAAAUAAUAAGUGCAUGAUCCUGCUAAAUAAAUAAAAUUUAUUAGGAGGAAUCUCAAUAUGAUAAAGGCUAAGAGAUUUUAUGCUAACACUUAACGAGUUCCACAAAGCUUUGUUGUCUAUUUGAGCUCCUCAGAAUUCAAGGAUCAAAGAAGACUAGCUGACGGAGGACAUAGUAAUCGCUGUCAGGGUGCUGCAGACAUUCAAAUACACCUCCAUCACCUACUAGCUACAUCAGAAGAAAUUACGUCAAAAUCCAGCUUGGGGGAGAGCACCCCCAUUUAUCCAGCUAAGUGUUUGUACUCGCGUUUAUACUUUACUCAAAUAAUAAAAAGAUGCAUAAACAUGAAAACCCAAAUAAAAUUUGUGUGCUUAUAUAUAUCUUUGCUUAGUUUGCUAAAUAAAUAAAUAAAGUGUCUAGGCCAAACUGAACUUAAAUGUUAAACUCUUACAUGGAUAUGAUAAAUAGUUGCUCUACCAUGUACCUAGUUUUCAAGUUUGAGCUCUCUCUCAAGUUUAGGCAUAACUGUUAUAAUUUUAAACCUGCUCUAAACGUGAACUUGUGGGAAGAGUACUUGAUCUAAAGUCUAAGUCGUUAACGGAUAUGAUAUGGAAAGGUUGAGCUGCUGUUUAUCUGUUCCUAGAGUUGCUAGAAUUCUGGAGAAUAUUAUUUUUGAAAAUCUUUAAAAUAUUGCAUGAUCAGUUCCUGUAUGAUAAGAGAUUAAAAUCCUACCACAACCAUAUAUACAUGCUUAUUAGACUAUGAACCAUAUAUUUACUUUUUACUGCUUAUGGGCAUUGAUUGUGGUCAAGCUGUGUAGACCCUUAGGAGCUUCUCAUACGGUUAAAAUCAAGAUUCACUUGCACGUUCACUCAUACAUGCUACUUCUACUCCGGAAGUACGCAUCCACAUACAUCCACUCAAUUCUAUCUCCAGAUUCACCUAAAAUUAUUCUACUCCUAUCAGGGAGAGAAUAGCCAAAAUCUUUUUCAUAUCCCUGUUAUUCCCUGUGAAAUAAAUGUUCGAGAUAUUUUGGUUAUUACCACUUGCUACAUUAUUCUAGGAGGGUGAGUGAAAGCCCUAGUUUGGUUUUGGAUAAUUGAUGAAACCUAUGUGAACUAACGGUUGUCAUGAGUGAAAUAUAAAGAUAGGUUGGUACCCACCAAGUGAUGGAGCUAGAUGAUUUUCAUGGUGAUGGAGGUGACCAAAAGAUGAUAUUCAAGUGCUCCAACUUGGAAAAGAAGAAAGAGAAAAACAAAAAGGGCUCAAGGCAAAGGUAUUUUUUUAAUAGGGCCAUUUUGUUUUGCCACUCAAGACACCUAGUGGGUGUGAGUGGAUUUAGGAUAGAUAACCGUACUAUAAAGAGGGAAAAUCUUUAAUUGCAAUGGUUAUCUAGUGUCACUAAGUAUGAGUCUCACUUGCAUUUACUUAGCGCUUAGUGACGUGGUGAGAUGUAUGAGAAAGCCUAUAAAAAUAUUUGUGAAAAAGUAACCUAAGUGUCCAAUUUAUUUUGGAAUAUUUUGGUAAAGUUAAUUAAUUAAAAAGGCUUAAAAUGGUGCUGAAAUUUCUCUACUUGCAAGCAGUUGCAAUGUAUUAUAAAUAGUCAAAAGCUUAAAAUAGAUAAAGAGAUAAAGUGCUUCUGUUAGCCAAAAGUGGUGCAAGUGCAAGUAUGCAUGUUGGCAUGCACUUGGGACAGAGGAGGUUCGAGCGGACUUUUCUCCAAGCUGUGGCCGAACUGGUCCAUUUCUCUCCUCUGGUUUUUUUUUGAAGCGCUCAGUAGCUUCUGGCCUGCAUGCACGCAUGCAGUGGAGAGGCAGUGCGGCAGCUUGCAUGGGGCCCCCUGUCCCUUCCCAUUUCUUUAGUUGACCGUCGAGUGAAUGGUAGCGGUGCCGUCUGUAGGAAGCUUCAUGCAAGGAGCCGCUCACCGCACUCACACAGAAAGAGGGCAGGGUUCGCUGGGGCCCACGCUGUGAAGGGCAGAGGCGUUUGCCAUUUCUUUUGCUUGCCCGUUUGCCACUGCUACCCAUGGGAAAUCUGCCCGUUGGGAGUUUCGGCCUGGGCUUGGAUAAGGCCGAGGCUACCCCUUCGGUCUCCUUCACUCUUGCCCAACAGAACAACACGCACAUCCCUUUCUUCUUCCAGAAAAAGGAACAGAGGAACUCAAGCUCUCUCUCCAUCCUCUCUCACUCCCCAAGCUUUGUGCUCCAUUCAAGUGAGAGAUUGAGCUCUAGUGAUAGAUCUGAGAGCUUCAAGAGCAUCUCCUCCCUCUUCUCUCCAUUCCCAUGGUUCGUUUUCUUUGGUGAGAGGAGUUGAGGAAACCCUAGUGUUCAUGCAUUUGUGAUUCAUAUUUGUGGCACUAGGUUGUGAUUGCAAUUGUGGAUUUCUUAUUACUCUUGGAGAUUGUCGUCGCCUAGACGGUUGUGGAUUUGUUGAUUGGUGAGGGGAUUUGGUGAUUGUGUCCGCCCCCAAAUCAAGGUGAUAUUUGUGAGGGGUUCUUGGGCUUAUUCCCCGGUGGAGUGCCAAAAGCCACUCUAGUGGAUUGCUCAUGUCAUUGAGCUACCUCACUUGUGGGUAGGUUCUUGCGGUGCCCAUUUGUUGGGCUAGGUUUGUGAAACACCUAUUAGCCGCUGAACCACCAAGUGUUGGUCGACACAACGGGGACUAGCGUGCCGGCAAGCACGUGAACCUCGGGAGAAAAAUAUUGGUGUCAAUAUUGUGAUUGGUAUUCUCUCGGUGAAUACAUUGAUAUACAUUGUGAUUUGUUCAUCCUCCACACAUCGGUAUAAUUAUCUGUCGCCUCUUUACUUUCUUGCAAAUUAGUUGUAACUAGUAGAUCCUAGUUUUAGCUAGUUGUAACUAGUUGUAAAGAGUAGUGACAUAGCCUUUGCUUGUGCCUAGAGAUCAUAGCAACUAGAAUUUUUGGAUAGGUGGCUUGCAACCCUUGUAGAGCUAGAGCAAAAUUGCUUUACGCCUUUUAUUAUAUUAAUCCUUUGCUCUAGUGCCUUGUAGAAUUUUUAAAUAGGCUAUUCACCCCCCCUCUAGCCAUAUUAGGACCUUUCAAUUGGUAUCGGAGCCGUGGUCACCGUUUAAUCAAGGCUUAACAACCUUCGGUGUCAAAAUAUAGCUCAAAUUGUGUUCAACCAUGUGGGGGGCAAACCACCAUUCUUUGAUGGUACAUGCUAUGAUUAUUGGAAGAGAAAAAUGAAGAUGUAUUUGGGUUCAAUCAAUGAUCAAGUGUGGGUUGUGACCGAGAGUGAUUUUGUGAUUCUUGAUCCCACCAAUCUCACCAACCAAGAUAAAGCAAACAAGCAAUGCAACACUAUGGCUCUCAACACUAUAUAUAAUGCAAUUGAUUCAAAAGUGUUUGAGCAAAUCAAGGAUUGUGAUAGAGCAAGUGAAGUGUGGAAGAGAUUGGAGGAAACAUAUGAGGGCACACCGGCGGUCAAGAGUGCAAAACUGUAUAUUCUCAAAGAUAAAUGGACAAGCUUCAAGAUGAAGGAUGAUGAGAGCAUUACGGAGAUGUUCCAUAGAUUGCAAGUAAUUGUGAAUGAUUUGAAGGCUUUGGGUGAGAAGAUAAGUGAUGCUUGUUGAUAUUUGGGAACGCAAUAAGGAAUUGAUCCGCAAGUGCAUGGAUAUCGGUGAGCACUUCACCCGGGAUGUUAUCCAGAGUAUCGUAUUUAUAUUUUUACCACUAGGAGGAAGAGUGCAUCUGACUAACCUAGUCUAUUACUACUAACCUUUAGGCUACAAAGAAUGUUUCUCGAUGUGAGUGAUAUAUAGAGAAGACUACAACUGUAAUCUCUUUCUAACCUUGGUAAGGAUGAUCUACUAUUCUAUUGGGGAAGCUUAUGGAAUCUAGACACCACAGAGGAUGUUCAACCCGCACCUAUAAACCCUAUCCUUCCUGCUAACGAGAUAUGGUUUGCAAAGGUAACUCGGAAAUGUCACGUUCCUCGCUACUACCACGGUCCAGCUAGUCAGGGGAUAUCUAUGAGAAUCCUAGCCCAAACACCACGUCUACGCUAGAGAUGAUCACUCUAAACUCUACGUGAAGAGAUUAAAGUAAACUCAUAAACCAAAUAACAAUAAAACAAGAACUUACUAGAAUUUAGAAGUCGAUACUGAAGAAUCCUAGGAACAAGCUUCGGGUUAGGAGAACUUGAUCCCGCAGGUACAACCUCAGAGUAGACACCGAUAGGCCGGGCUUCCUCCGAUCUACACCUCCACUCUAUCUCUCUCAAUCUAGUAGAAACUAGAAGAUCUAAUUCUACUCACAUUGGAUGCUAAGCCCUAAGUCUAUUUAGAGGAGAGGUAUUCCUUCGAGGGCUCAUGUCAACUCUAUGAUGAACUUUUGUCUCCUCCAGGGGCCAGGGGGUCUGCUUAUAUAUUCCCCUUAGGUGAACGUGGGCCGUUGGAUCAAACCGACAUUGAUUGAACAGUUAUCCUUGAUCCUUUAGGUUGGUGGAGCAUAAUCCCAAAAGAGAGUCCUGAUUGGACUCCAAAGGGGGGCGGGCACCCUGGGCCAGGCCCCGUUCUGCCUCCGCUUCGUUCUCGUGGCUUCUGGAGUCUUCUAGAUGGUAGAAAGUUGCGCGGUGCGUUAAUAUCUCUAUGUAAUCCCGACAUGUGGGCCUUUCUUCCAUAUUUUCUGAUAACCCCCUGUAGAAACAGAUAAACAACAAAACUCGUGGAAUUCUGUCAGAUCAAACCCUAAUUCUAGGUGUUGUUUGCAUAUUGGUCCUUUCUCUUGUUUAUUUGAUAAUUAAAAUUGAUACUUAAGAACCAUCAAAAAAUACCCCCAUACUUAGGCUUUUACUCGUCCUCGAGAAAAGGAUGGUUAAGAAAAAUAUUUGGGGUUAAAACAUUGUAAAGGAUUCUCUUCAUACCUGCAGGGUGUUGUAAAAAUUCACUAUAUACCAUAGUCAGGGAAAUAUUUGAUCACGAGUAGAGAUCCUUUCUUCCUUUCAAUCCUGUCACUUGGAGUUUUUGUAUAUUUUUAAAAAAGGAAUUAGCAUACCUUUUAUCCUCAUAGGUUCUCUCAGAUCACUCAUUUAUCUUUUAUAUAUCUCACUGAGGCUGUCUUAAUUUGCAAAAAUUCUCAAGCAUACUUACUUUGCAUUCAUUGCCUGAUCAAAAUAGGAUCCGAGGAGAGGAAUGCCAUACUCUUAGAUCAAAGACUUUUGGAAAUUAAAAACUUGUCAACUCUUACCGGCAAAUUGCUUAUUAGAGGGACCAUGGGCUAUUAUUUUCUUUUUCUUCUCUCUCUUUUUUUUAAGUGGAUACCGAGGUACCCCUAAUUCUACUGCCGGACACUUGUCUAUUUUUCUGCGAGGUUAUCGAGCACGUGCUCCUUUUUAUUUCCUCGAAAUAUCCUUAUUUUUGCAUAGCCCAUGCCACUAAUGCAAUAAUACUUCGGAAGAGUGAAUCUUUCUGAAAUAAUGUCUUGAUCUUAGGAGCAUGAUAAAUCUCUCAACAAGGGUCUAACUCAUUUUGAACAAACUCAAUACAGAGUAGAUAACUUUUAUAUUUAAUAUUUUCCUAAUGCAAUAAUACUUCGGAAGAGUGAAUCUUUCUGAAAUAAUGUCUUGAUCUUAGGAGCAUGAUAAAUCUCUCAACAAGGGUCUAACUCAUUUUGAACAAACUCAAUACAGAGUAGAUAACUUUUAUAUUUAAUAUUUUCAGGUUUAUCAGGCAUAUAAAACACUGAGGAUGGUAGCUAGAAUUUUUUUGAAUAAAUUCUCCAAGCAACAAUGAUAUCAAGAAUAAGAAACUCGUACUCUACCAUCUUACAUUCCACAAUGACUUAAGUAACAUAGGGUUUUCAAAUGAUUUUUCAAUAAUUGCAGGUUUUCAAGAAAUAUCACCGAGUGAGUUUAAUCCUGAUUAGAAACAUUUUAAUCUUUUUAAUUUAUCAUGUCGGAGACAAUAUUCUGCAUAAUCCAAGAUAUAUAUGUGUAUGUGUAAAGUAAAGUGUGCAGAGUAUGUACCUGAAUCAUGGAGUGAUGUAGUCGGAGUGUGUUUGGCAUGUCGAGGGAUCUCCCCCAUACUUGUUUCUGCUUUCUUGCAUAAAAAUAAAGUAGAGACACACAAAACAUAAUAAUAAUACUCUUUAUUAAUCUUGAGGCAUUUAUUACAAAUGACUAGUAAUGAACUGAAGAUAAAUCUAAACCAAAUUUAAAGAUAAAUAACUAAGAUGCAUUGCUUCAAGAUCUAAUCUAGAUAACUUAGCGGUGCUCUAACUCCCUGAUCUUCUUAUUGGCACUAGCAAGAUCAUGCCUAAGACCUAGUAUAACGGUGUUGUGGUUAGAGAGCUGCCUAGUGAUGGAGUUAACCGAGGACUGGAGGUCUAUGAUGACUCUGUCUAGCCUGCGAACGUCCUCAUCAAUAUCUAUUAUAGUCUUGCGACGCUUGGGAGUUGUCUCAAAAGCAUUGAGAGCGUGCUUCGAGGCUGCCUUUGGAGGGAUGAAACGGACUUUGGAUGCUCUAAUCCCUUCAAAGUAAGGCCUCUCCUCCUCCAUAGUGUAGCGGAUGCUACUGAUCUCGCCGCUCCGGUUGGUCUUGACUCCAACGACCCUCUCAUUGGGUCUGGGUGGAAGGAUCCUCGUGCCGGUUGGCACCAUCAUGGUGGUCUCUUUCUUGGCUAAUGGUCCCUUGAGAAGUAGGUGUUGUGGCAGUACGGUGAGAACUGGUUGAGCAUGGUAGGAUUGGGCGGAGCUGCGCUGGCGUAAUGGCAUGGCUUCUAGCUGUCGCUUUGUGUUGGCCGGGACGAGAGCACGGGCGUCGGGGUCUUCCUUAGGCUUCAUGUUGAGGUUGAAGGGGACGACUUCCCAAUCAUCGUGGAAUUCUUCGGCCAUUGGAGCAGCGAGGAACUAAGCAAGCUCUAAGAAGAAGAGAAGGCUUGUAUGGAUUGGUGUUUGAAAACUGACGCCAGGGGUCUGUUUAUAUAGGGGUCAAAAAGUGCCUCUAUGGGUUGUUCGGGUUAUUCCCGUCACUGUGCGUGCGAAACUUUCCACCUGUAGGAUUAUUUGGUUUACCAUAAGUGUGUUUUCUGCGACGGGGGAAAUCGGGACCGAGAGGGGGCAGGGGAUGGGUGCCCACCCUCUUCAUCAGGGUGCCUACCCUGUGUCUGGCCCCUCUGUGGGCCCGCUUCCUCGAGCGUGUUUCUAUAUGUGUGACCCAAAAACGUCAGAUUAAAAAGGUUGGGCUCUACAUCUCCAUGGGAAGGUAAAAAUGGAUCACGUCUAUCUCUUCUAAUUCUUAAUUGGGCUCUAAAAAUAAUUUAAGACGUUUAACAUUUACCUUGAAUAACGUACCUUCAACAUUUUGAAGUGUGAUAACUCCAUGGGAUGAUGAAUUGAUUACCUUGAAUGGUCCUUCCCAUUUACUCCGGAGUUUUCCAUGCCCGAAAAGCUUCACCCUGGAAUUAAAAAGUAAUACCUUAUCUCCGAAUGCGAACUCCUUCUUCUUGAUCAUCUUGUCAUGCCACCUUUUGACUCUUUCUUUGUAGAUCUUCGAAUUGUGAUAUGCUUUCUCUCGCCAUUCUUCCAAUUCUGAUAGUUGCAUUCUUCUAUGGUCUCCAGUGACAUCUAGGUCCAUAUUCUAUCUCCUUAUGGCCUAGUGUGCUUUGAACUCAAGUUCAACAGGUAGGUGGCAAGUCUUCCCGUACACCAAUUGGUAUGGGGACAUUCCAAUUGGGGUCUUGUAUGCUGUCCGGUAUGCCCAGAGUGCAUCGGGUAACUUGUCUUUCAAUGCUGUUCCCAUUUCAUGCACUGUCUUCUGAAGAAUAUUCUUGAUUUGCUUGUUGGAAGUCUCUGCUUGGCCACUUGUCUGAGGAUAGUAGGGGGUAGCGACGUUGUGACGGAUUCCAUGUUUUGAUAGAUAUUGCUUCAAGCGUUUGUCGAUGAAGUGUGCUCCUCCAUCACUUAUCACUACUCUGGGGACUCCAAACCUUGGAAAUAUAAUUUCUUCAAACAUCCUCUUUGAACUGAUGUUGUCGGCAUGCUUGCAAGGUAAUGCCUCUACCCACUUGGAGACAUAGUCAGCUACCACCAAGAUGAACUCACACUUCUUUGAUGGGGGAAAUGGACCCAUGUAAUCUAUUCCCCAGACAUCAAAGAGCUCAAUCUAAAGGUUGUUAGUGAGUGCCAUGGCAUCUCUGGUGUUUAUGUUUCCGUGCCUUUGACAUGGCUCACAUCUUCUGAUAUAUUGGUUCAUGUCUUCAUACAUUGUAGGCCAGUAGAAUCCACACUGCCAGAUCUUUGAAUGUGUACGGAAUGCUCCAUAAUGACCUCCAUAUGGUGAUGAAUGACAUCUGUCGAUGAUCUUCAAUCUUUCCUCAGUGGUCACACACCUCCUGAGUAAGCCAUCAGAGCAUACUCGGAAGAGAUAUGGCUCAACCCAUAUAUGUGAACGACUUUCUUGAAUAAGCUUCGUCUUGUCUGCUCCUAGUGGUACGUACCCUGAAACCAUAAAAUUAACAAUAUCUGCAUACCAGGGGUCAGACCUGUUAAUCUCGUAGAGCAUGUCGUCCCGGAGUAAAUCAUUGAUGGGGGUUUCCUGUGGACUCUUAAAAUACAUUCUAGACAAGUGAUCAGCAACAGAAUUUUCUAUUCCCUUUUUAUCUUUUAUAUCUAAGUCAAAAUUUUGAAGUAAUAAGAUCCAUCUAAUAAGGCGAGGUUUAGCAUCUUUUUUAGUGAGCAGAUAUUUUAGUGCAGCAUGAUCAGUGUAAACAAUUAUUUUAGCUCCAACUAAAUAAGAUCUAAACUUAUCUAUGACAAAGACAACAGCCAGAAGCUCUUUUUCAGUGGUUGCAUAAUUAAGUUGAGCUCCUAUCAAAGUUUUACUGGCAUAAGCAAUUGCAUGAUGCUUCUUAUUUUUAGUUGGUCCCAAAACUGCCCCCACGGCAUAAUCACUAGCAUCACACAUAAUUUCAAAAGGCAACGACCAAUCAAGGGGUUGAAUGAUUGGUGCAAAGAUGAGUGCUUUCUUUAAUAAAUUGAAAGAUGUUAGGCAUGCAUCAUCAAAUUCGAAAGGAACAUCCUUAGCUAGAAAAAGAGUAAGUGGUCUAGCAAUGAAUGAAAAAUCUUUUAUGAAUCUGCGAUAAAAACCAGCAUGGCCAAGAAAGCUUCGAAUUCCUUUUAUAUUCACAGGUGGAGGUAGUUGUUCAAUUACUUCAAUUUUAGCUCUGCCUACCUCAAUACCUCUUUCAGACACUAGGUGUUCCAGCACUAUUCCUUCCCUAACCAUGAAAUGACAUUUUUUCCAAUUAAGGACUAAGUGCUUUUCCUCACAUCUUUGCAAAACAUUGUCUAAGUUUUCAAGACAACUAUCAAAAGUUUUUCCAUAAACGAAGAAAUCAUCCAUGAAAACUUCGAUAAUCUCUUCAAUCAUAUCAUAAAAUAUAGACAUCAUGCAUCUUUGAAAAGAAGCUGGUGCAUUACAUAACCCAAAAGACAUUCUACGGUAAGCAUAAGUUCUGUAUGGGCAUGUAAAAGUGGUUUUGCUUUGAUCAUCGGGAUGCAUCAGGAUCUGGUGAUACCCUGAAUAUCCAUCUAAGAAAUACAAGAAUGAAUGGUUUGCUAAUCGCUCUAGCAUCUCAUCUAUGAAAGGUAAAGGAAAAUGAUCCUUUCUCGUGGCUUUGUUUAGUUUUCUAUAGUCUAUGCACAUCCGCCACCCUGUGACGGUGCAUUGUGGAAUUAGCUCAUUCUUUUCAUUCGUGAUGACAGUCAUGCCUCCCUUUUAGGCACAACUUGAACUGGCCUUACCCACUCACUAUGCGGCACAGGAUAUAUAAUCCCUACAUGCAGCAACUUUAUAACUUCCUUUUUAACUACCUCUCUCAUCGUGUUGUUAAGUCUACAUUGGGGCUCUCGAGAAGGUGAAACAGAAGGAUCUGUUGGAAUACAAUGGGUACAAAUCAUAGGACAGAUUCCUGUAAGAUCUUGGAGUGAGUAGCCAAAAACUGAGUGAUGUUUCUCAAGAAUGGUCAUCAAACGCAGAGUUUGCUCCUGAGUGAGUUUAUCACUAAUGAUCAAAGGAAACUCUGGAUUAUUGUUUAGGAAAGCAUAGAUAAGACCGGGUGGUAAAGUUUUAAGCUCUAUGGGAGGUCUAGGUGUUUCUGCAAACUCAUCUAAGGGUUCAGGUUCAGAUGGUUCAGCUUCUUCUUCUGUGAAGAGAGGAGCUUCGUCUUCUAAGUCUGGUUCAUCUAAAAGCUCUAGAGAUGCAGCCUUUACCUCCUCCAUAGGAUCAGGCAAAAGAUAAGUCUCGGCCUUAUUGUUUAAGGAGUGAGAAAUUGUUAUGGGAAAUUUAAAAGUUUUCCCAAAAGAAAUGUGUAGCUUUCCAGUAUGACCUUCAUAAAGGAGUCUUCUAAAAGGUUGUCCUAUCAAUAGGUCGAAGUCCCAUGUAUCAAAGAUAUAGAAGUUCAAAUGAACCAUGGAGCCUUCUACCAUAAGGGGUAGGAAAUUAAUAAUUCCAAGACUGGGGACUAAUCGUCCCGAAGAUUCCUUUAUGACUUUUGUUGUGGGGGUUAAAACCAAAUUUUUAAAUAAUUUAAGUUCAAAAGAUUUAGACAUAAUGUUGAUCCGCACAACAGGAUUAUAGAGAGCAUCAAAUCGAUCAGAAUCAUAAGCAGAGCGUAUAGUUAUAUAGAAGGUGUGUCCAAACGGAUCACAUCAGAGGAAAGCUCUGACUCCUCCAACCACUCGGUACUGAUGACUGAGAUAAGCUCUCUCAAUUGAUGUUCAGUUGGCAAACGAAUGCUAAAAUGGCCGUUUUGGGGUCUGUUAAUAGAAUGGUAGUUUGAGAUGUUUCCAAAAUCGGCAAAAAGAUCAGAUUCUAUAUCCAGCAUGAAAUUAGGUGGUGGAAUUUCUUCCUUUUGUGGCUCAGCACUUGGGAUAGCUAAAGUAGAUGGAGAAUUUGGUAGAGUGUCUACUUCGGCUUCGUGGGUUUCAUCAUGAAGGGUAUUAUCCAUCUAUCUAGGAUCACUCUAGCAUCAUCAGUAGGGAUGCAAAAGAAAGAACCUCUAGACAUUGUAUGUAGCAUUUGUUUAUCAUCUUUCUAAAGACCUCGAAAAAGUGAAAUAAAAGAACAGGGUCUUCAAGAUUAAGGUUUGGACCAGAUUCUAAAAGAUCAGAAAAACAUUUCCAGAAUUUUCCCAAAGUUUCUUUAUCUUUUUGUUUAAAAGAUAGGACUUCGAGUCUAAGGUCGCUGAUACGGUUGAGGGAAUAAAAAUCUAGACAAAAGUUGGCUCGUAAAACUCCCCAUUCACCUCGUUGUUGAUUUACCUUCUGAUUAUACCAUUGUCUAGCUUCUCCCCUUAAAGAAAAAGGAAAAAGCUUCCAACGUAAAGUUUUAUCAUAAAUGCCUUCAAUGUGACGACAAUCACAUGUUUGCUCAAAAUCUCUAAUAUGAAGGUAAGGGUUUUUCUCUUCCUUUCCUGAGAAAGAUAGGUUUUGAAUCAAGACAAUCAACCUAGAACUUAACCUAUACUCGGAUGUUUAGAUAGGCUGUGAUGACUCCCAUGGUAAAAGGUCACUUUCGGAAGGUGUUGCAAAUUGAUAGAUUGAUUUAGAAUCUUGGUUUUCCAUAAGUUAAGAGUAAAGAAAAUAAAUAAAGAAUAUAAAAGAUAAGAAAAGAUAAAAGUAGAGAUACAAGCUAGUAGUAAGACUCAAGGUUAUCUCAGCAAACUGUCUUUCUCCCCGGCAACGGCGCCAGAAAUGCUUGUUGAUAUUUGGGAACGCAAUAAGGAAUUGAUCCGCAAGCGCACGGUUAUCGGUGAGCACUUCACCCGGAAUGCUAUCCAGAGUAUCAUAUUUAUAUUUUUUACCACUAGGAGAAAGAGUGCAUCUGACUAACCCAGUCUAUUACUACUAACCUUUAGGCUACAAUGAAUGUUUCUCGAUGUGAGUGAUAUAUAGAGAACCUUUAUUUCUACUAACCGUAAUCUCUUUCUAACUUUGGUAAGGAUGAUCUACUGUUCUAUUGGGGAAGCUUAUGGAAUCUAGACACCACAGAGGAUGUUCAACCCGCACCUAUAAACCCUAUCCUUCCUGCUAACGAGAUAUGGUCUUCAAAGGUAACUCGGAAAUGUCACGUUCCUCGCUACUACCACGGUCCAGCUAGGCAGGGGAUAUCUAUGAGUAUCCUAGCCCAAACACCAUGUCUACGCUAGAGAUGAUUACUCUAAACUCUACGCGAAGAGAUUAAAGUAAACUCAUAAACUAAAGAACAAUAAAAUAAGAACUUACUAGAAUUUAGAAGUCGAAAUACUGAAGAAUCCUAGGAACAAGCUUCGGGUUAGGAGAACUUGAUCCUGUAGGUACAACCUCAGAGUAGACAACGAUAGGCCGGGCUUCCUCCGAUCUACACCUCCACUCUAUCUCUCUCAAUCUAGUAGAAACUAGAAGAUAUAAUUCUACUCACAUUGGAUGCUAAGCCCUAAGUCUAUUUAGAGGAGAGGUAUUCCUUCGAGGGCUCCUCUCAACUCUAUGAUGAACUUCUGUCUCCUCCAGGGGCCAGGGGGUCUGCUUAUAUAGUCCCCUCAGGUGAACGUGGGCCGUUGGAUCAAACCAACAUUGAUUGAACGGUUAUCCUUGAUCCUUUAGGUCGGUGGAGCGUAAUCCCGAAAGAGAGUCAUGAUUGGACUCCUAAUGGGGGCGGGCGCCCUGGUCCCUAUGGUGGGCGCCCUAGGCCAGGCCCCGUUCUGCCUCCGCUUCAUUCUCGUGGCUUCUGGAGUCUUCUAGAUGGUAGAAAAUUGCGUGGUGCGUUAAUAUCUCUAUGUAAUCCCGACAUGUGGGCCUCUCUUCCAUAUUUCCUGAUAACCCCCUGCAGAAACAGAUAAACAACAAAACUCAUGGAAUUCUGUCACAUCAAACCCUAAUUCUAGGUGUUGUUUGCAUAUUGGUCCUUUCUCUUAUUUAUUUGAUAAUUAAAAUUGAUACUUAAGAACCGUCAACAAUGAUGAUGUAUCCCAUCGGUUCUUGAUGUGCUUGCCUCCAAGAUUUGAGACACUAAGAUUAAUCAUUAUAAGAGGAGGAUUGAAAGAACUUACCCUACCCCUAACCAAGUACUAGGUGAUGUCAUGACACAAGAGACAUACCGUGUGGAAAGGGAAAGGGUUGACCAAGAUGAGAAGAAGGAUGAAGACAAGAAAAAUAAAAGUGUGGCAUUCAAGGCUAGUUCAUCCAAGAGCAAGGGCAAAGCAAAGAAAGAAGAAUCAAGUGAAGAUGAGGAAGUUAGUGACAUUGCUGAUGAAGCACUAGCUCUCUUUGUGCGUAAGUUUGGCAAAUUUAUGAAGAAAAAGGGCUAUGGUGCAAGAAAAAAAAGAGACCAAAUAAGAGCAAAGAACAUGUGAGAAGAUGCUACAAAUGCAAGAGCAAGGAUCACAUUGUAGCAGAUUGUCCCUGCAAUAGUGACAAUGAUGAGGAUGAAAAGAAAAAGGAAAAGAAAGUUAGGAGAAGAAGGAGAAUAAAAUGACAUUCCAAAAUAAAAAGAAGGGUGGCGGCUAUGUGGUGACUUGGGAUAGUGAUGCUUCUUCGAAUAUUGAUGAUUCUAGUGAUGAUGACAACAAAUCCAAGAAAAAGGCACUUGCAAGCAUCGCCAUCAACAACAAGCCUUCUCUCUUCGACACUCCUUCGAAUGUCUCAUGGCUAAACCCACUAAGGUACAAUAUGAUGAAAGUGAUGAUGAUUAUGAAAGUGAUGAUUGUAGGAGUGAUGAUGAUGAUGAAGAGUCAAAGGAAGAACUCAUGGACAUGUUGGAGAAUGCUCACACAUGUCUUGAGAUGAAGACAAAGGAGUGCAAAGAAUUGCGGAAAGAUCUCAAAGCUCUCAAGCAAUCCUUUGAUGAGCUCCAAGCGUCUCAUGAGAGUCUAAAGGAAGACCAUGAGGAGCUUGGCAAUGCUCACUCUAAGUUUGAAAAGGCUCAAUCCUCUCUCCUCGAGCAAGCUAAGAAAGAGGAAGUUAUUGUGACUUGUGACAAGGGCUCUACAUGUGAUUUAAUUAAUGAAUCUUUCAUUGAGUCUAUUAUUAUUGCUUCCACUAACUCUUCUUGUAGCACUUCCACUUCUACCUCAUCUACUAGUGAUGGUUUCACUUGUGAUGCCACAUUAAUAAAUGCCAAAUGCCCGAAUCGUCUCCAAUGUGCCAGAAACUGACACUGCCGUUCUGGUCUUUAUAUUUUUCCAGAAGUCUUUUUNNNNNNNNNNNNNNNNNNNNNNNNNNNNNNNNNNNNNNNNNNNNNNNNNNNNNNNNNNNNNNNNNNNNNNNNNNNNNNNNNNNNNNNNNNNNNNNNNNNNNNNNNNNNNNNNNNNNNNNNNNNNNNNNNNNNNNNNNNNNNNNNNNNNNNNNNNNNNNNNNNNNNNNNNNNNNNNNNNNNNNNNNNNNNNNNNNNNNNNNNNNNNNNNNNNNNNNNNNNNNNNNNNNNNNNNNNNNNNNNNNNNNNNNNNNNNNNNNNNNNNNNNNNNNNNNNNNNNNNNNNNNNNNNNNNNNNNNNNNNNNNNNNNNNNNNNNNNNNNNNNNNNNNNNNNNNNNNNNNNNNNNNNNNNNNNNNNNNNNNNNNNNNNNNNNNNNNNNNNNNNNNNNNNNNNNNNNNNNNNNNNNNNNNNNNNNNNNNNNNNNNNNNNNNNNNNNNNNNNNNNNNNNNNNNNNNNNNNNNNNNNNNNNNNNNNNNNNNNNNNNNNNNNNNNNNNNNNNNNNNNNNNNNNNNNNNNNNNNNNNNNNNNNNNNNNNNNNNNNNNNNNNNNNNNNNNNNNNNNNNNNNNNNNNNNNNNNNNNNNNNNNNNNNNNNNNNNNNNNNNNNNNNNNNNNNGCGCACGGAUAUCGGUGAGCACUUCACCCGGGAAAUUAUCCAGAGUAUCGUAUUUAUUUUUUUACCACUAGGAGAAAGAGUGCAUCUGACUAACCGGUCUAUUACUACUAACCUUUAGGCACAAAGAAUGUCUUUCGAUGUGAGUGAUAAAUAGAGAAGACUGCAACCGUAGUCUCCUUCUAACCUUGGUAAGGAUAAUCUAUUGUUCUAAUGGGGAGGCUAACAGAAUCUAGACACCACAAAGGAUGUUCAACCCGCACCUAUAAACCCUAUCCUUCCUGCUAACGAGAUGUGAUCUACAAAGGUAACUCGGAAUUGUCACGUUCCUCGCUACUACCACGGUCCAGCUAGUCAGGGAAUAUCUAUGAGUACCCCAGCCUAAACACCACGUUUACGCCAGCAAUGAUUACUCUAAACUCUACGCGAAGAGAUUAAAGUAAACUCAUAAACCAUAAGAACAAUAAAACAAGAACUUACUAGAAUUUAGAAGUCAAAAUACUGAAGAAUCCUAGGAGCAAGCUUCAGGUUAGGAGAACUUGAUCCCGCAGGUACAAGCUUGGAGUAGACACCGACAGGCCGGGCUUCCUCCAAUCUACACCUCCACUCUAUCUCUCUCAAUCUAGUAGAAACUAGAAGAUCUAUUUCUACCUUACAUUGGUUGCUAAGCCUAAAAAGAAAUAUUAAUUAGAGAAGAGGUUUUCCUUCGAGGGCACCCAUCAGUCUCUAUGAUAAUUUCUUCAUGUCUUCUCCAGGGGCCAGGGGGGUCUCCUUAUAUAGUCCUUCCUUUCUAUGCAUUUUUGGGUCGGUAGGCGAGGUGGUACUAUGUUUUUCUUGAUCCAAUUGGUCGGUGGAAUAUCCCGUGCGAAGAGAGUCCCGAACUGGAUCCAACAGGGGGCGGGCGCCCAGGUCACCAGGGCGGGCGCCCUGGGCCUGGCCCCUUUCGGCCUCCGUCUUCUUCCCGUGGCUUCUGGAGUCUUCUAGAUGGUAGAAAAUCGUGCGGUGCGUUGUUAUCUCUAUGUAAUCCCGACAUGUGGGCCUUUCUUUCUUAUUUCCUGAUAACUCCCUGUAGAAAUAGAUAAACAACAAAACUCGUGGAAUUCUGUCAGAUCAAACCCCAAUUCUAAGUGUUGGUUGCAUAUUGGUCCUUUCUCUUGUUUAUUUGAUAAUUAAAAUUGAUACUUAAGAACCGUCAACAGUAUCCUCAAUUAAAUUUGAUUCUUGUUAUAUGCUUGCCAAGGGUAUUAAUGGGGUGCAAGCUAAGUUCAUUGGUACACCAAUUGUGGGCUCAAAGAAGAAAGCUAUUUGGGUACCAAAGAGCUUAUUCACUAACCUUCAAGGACCCAAGAAAGUUUGGGUACCUAAAAAGAAUUAAUUCUCUUUUGUAGGUGAAUUAUAAAGCCAGAGGAAGGCAUUGGGUUCUUAAUAGUGGGUGCACUCAACAUAUGAUCGGUGAUUCAAGAAUGUUCAAUUCAAUCAACGCAAAUGAUAAUGAUGGAAUUCAUAGUAUAACAUUUGGUGAUAAUGGAAAAGGCAAGGUCAAAGGGCUUGGUAUGAUUGCAAUAUCCAAUGAUUUGAGCAUUUUUAAUGUGCUACUAGUAGAGAGCUUGAACUUCAACCUAUUGUCAGUAGCUCAACUUUGUGAUCUUUAUUUCAAGUGCAUAUUUGGUGUGGAUGAUGUAGAAAUCAUAAGUGUAGAUGGCUCUAACUUGAUAUUCAAAGGAUUUAGAUAUGAGAAUCUAUACUUGGUUGAUUUCAAUGCUAGUGAAACUCAAUUAUCAACAUGUUUGCUCACUAAAUCUAGCAUGGGUUGGUUAUGGCAUAGAAGGCUUGGUCAUGUUGGAAUGAAACAAUUGAACAUGUUGAUAAAGCAUGAUCUAGUUAGAGGCUUGAAAGAUGUCACAUUUGAGAAAGAUAAGCUAUUUAGUGCAUGUCAAGCCAGAAAGCAAGUUGGUAACACACAUCCUAAGAAGAGCAUCAUGAGCACCUCUAAGGCAUUUGAGCUAUUGCACAUGGAUUUAUUUGGGCCAACAACAUACACUAGUAUUGGUGGAAAUAAAUAUGGCUUUGUGAUAGUGGAUGAUUUUACAAGAUAUACUUGGGUAUUCUUUCUUGUUGACAAGAGUGAUGUGUUUGCAACUUUCAAAUCAUUUGUCAAGAGAGUACAUAAUGAGUUUGAAACAACCAUCAAGAGAGUGAGAAGUGACAAUGGUAGUGAGUUUAAGAAUACAAGAGUUGAUGAGUUAUGUGAUGAUUUUGGAAUUAGGCAUCAAUUCUCAGCUAAAUAUACUCCACAAUCAAAUGGCCUUGUUGAGAGGAAGAAUAGAACUUUAAUUGAUAUGGCAAGGUCUAUGCUUAGUGAAUACAAUGUUAGUCAUUCUUUUUGGGCCGAAGCUAUCAACACGGCUUGCUACUAUAGCAACCGCCUAUAUUGCCAUCCUGUGUUGGAGAAGACACCAUAUGAGAUCUUGAAUGGUAGAAAGCCCAAUAUUGCAUACUUUUGAGUUUUUGGUUGCAAAUGCUACAUAUUGAAGAAAGGCACUAGAUUGAGCAAGUUUGAAAAGAAAUGUGAUGAAGGCUUCUUGCUUGGUUACUCCACUACUAGCAAAGCUUAUAGAGUUUGGAAUUUAGCUAAUGGUACUCUUGAGGAAGUUCAUGAUGUGGAAUUUGAUGAAACAAAUGGUUCCCAAGAUGAAGAUGAGAAUCUAGAUGAUGUGAGAGGUACUCAUUUAGUCAAUGCUAUGAAGAACAUGGAUGUUGGUGAUAUAAGGCCUAAAGAGGUGAUUGAUGUUGAAGAUGACAAAAAUCAAGUGCUCUCUAACUCUAAUGUGCAAACUAGUUGUUCUUAUGAUAUAUCUCAAGCUAGUACAAGUGGUGCUCAAGUGAAAGAUCAACAAGUGGCUAGUUCAUCAUCUCAAUCAAAUGACCAACCAAGUGCAAGCAAUCAAGUUCAAAUACUCCAACCAACCAAUAUUGCAAGAGAUCAUCCAUUGGAUUAUAUCAUUGGUGAUAUAUCAAGAGGUCUGCAAACUAGAUCAAGAUUGGCAUCAUUUUGUGAACAUUUCUCAUUUGUAUCAUCCAUUGAACCAAAGAAAAUAGAAGAAGCUUUGAUAGAUGUUGAUUUGGUAAAUGCUAUGCAUGAAGAGCUAAACAAUUUUACUAGAAAUCAAGUAUGGGAGUUAGUAGAGAGGCCUAAGGAUCAUAAUGUGAUUGGAGCCAAAUGGGUCUUUUGAAAUAAACAAGAUCAAGAUGGGAUAGUGAUAAGGAACAAAGCAAGAUUGGUAGCACAAGGUUACACACAAAUUGAAGGUCUUGACUUUGGAGAAACAUAUGCCCCGGUUGCUAGAUUGGAAGCAAUUAGGAUCUUGUUAGCCUAUGCUUGUGCUCACAGUAUCAAGCUAUAUCAAAUGGAUGUGAAGAGUGCAUUCUUGAAUGGAUAUAUAAAUGAGUUGGUUUAAGUUGAGCAACCUCCCGGUUUUGAAAAUGACAAGAAGCCCAACCAUGUUUACAAGUUGAAGAAAGCAUUGUAUGGUUUGAAACAAGCACCUAGAGCAUGGUAUGAGAGGUUAAGGGAUUUCUUACUCUCUAAAGGGUUUAUUAUGGGUAAGGUUGACACCACUCUCUUCACUAAAAAGAUAGGCAAUGACUUAUUUGUGUUGCAAAUCUAUGUUGAUGACAUUAUAUUUGGCUCAACCAAUCAAGAAUUUUGUAAAGAAUUUGGAAAUAUGAUGGCAAAUGAGUUUGAGAUGUCCAUGAUUGGAGAGCUUAGUUACUUCCUUGGUCUUCAAAUUAAGCAAAUGAAGAAUGGUACAUUUGUGAGUCAAGGCAAGUACAUCAAAGAUAUGCUCAAAAAGUAUGGCAUGGAGGAUGGUAAAGCUAUUAGUACACCUAUGGGGACAAAUGGAAACUUGGAUAGUGAUGCUAGUGGCAACAUGGUGGAUCAAAAGUUAUAUCGGUCUAUGAUUGGAAGCCUACUCUAUGUGGAUGCAUCAAGGCCGGAUGUGAUGUUUAGUGUAUGCAUGUGUGCUAGAUUUCAAGCAUCACCAAGCGAAAGUCAUUUGAAAGCAACCAAGAGAAUAUUGAGGUACUUGAAACAUACACAAAAUGUUGGAUUGUGGUAUCCCAUAGGAGCUAAUUUUGAGUUGAUUGGUUAUUCUGACACUGAUUAUGCAGGAUGUAAAGUUGAGAGAAAGAGCACAUCAGGCACAUGUUAAUUAUUGGGAAGGUCACUUGUAUCUUGGUCAUCAUAGAAGCAAAAUAGUGUAGCACUUUCAACCGCUGAAGCAGAGUAUAUUUCAGCUGGUAGUUGUUGUGCUCAAUUACUUUGGAUGAAGGCUACUUUGAAUGAUUUUGGAAUCAAGUUCAAACAAGUGCCAUUGCUAUGUGAUAAUGAGAGUGCAGUGAAGCUCACUAACAACCCAGUUCAACAUUCAAGAACAAAGCAUAUAGAUGUCCGUCAUCAUUUCGUAUGAGAUCAUCAACAAAAAGGGGACAUUUGUAUUGAGAGUGUGGGCAUUGAAUAUCAACUUGCCGAUAUUUUCACCAAGCCACUUGAUGAGAAGAGGUUUUGUAAGCUAAGGAAUGAAUUGAACAUACUUGACUUCUCAAAUAUGUGUUGACACACCCUCACAAUAUGACAUGCCUCACCUUUGAGCAAAGCAAGGUAAAAUUGUUUGACAUGUCAUCCAUCCUUUGCUAAGGACUUGUCUAGUGCAUUUAGUCAUUCCUCACAUAUCCUAGGCUCAUUUAUGAAAAUAAAAUGAAUUUGAUGCUUGUAUGGUACCACUAUUGCUUCUAUGUUUGUAAUGAUCUAGUGGUAGCAUAUGAGAUGUUUGUGGGCUUGCAAUCCUAGUGUUUGAUCUAGAAAAUGAGCUAUAAGUGUUUAACUCAACAUUGUCAAGAUAACCCUUGAAAUGAGGUGUGAAAAAGCUUGUCAUUGGAUCAAACCGAGUUAAAUAUCUUCGACAAGUAAUCUAGAUUGAACCAAAUUUGGGAAAAUGAUCCUCACAUAACAUGAUUUCACACAACCUAUCUAAAAUUUGAGCUCACCUUUUGUGGUCAUCGAUGAUAAAGGGGGAGAAGUAAUUCACAAAGAUAGGUUUUGCUAAAAGAAGGGGAUCAAAAUUUUUUUUAAGCACACAAGUAGGGGGAGCAAGCUCAUAAACUUGUAUGUUGCAUUUGGAUGUGCAUUACAUAUGCUUGCUUGCAUAGCACAUUUUUUUAAUACAUGCUUGUGUGAUGCUUGCUAGUUGUAAAAUUGUUUGAUGAAAUAAAUUACUAGCAUGCAUAGGAUGAUAGUUAGGUGUUCCUUGUAUGUUUUGUUUUUACAAAUGAUACUAGAGCCUUGUUUAUAAUGUUGAUCUCAUGAGGUAUCUAGUGUUUAUGUUUGCAAGAGCUAUCUAACUAACCAUGGUGCUACGGAUGGUGUUCAAAUGGCAACUCCGAUUGGUAUCACGCUUCAAAGGUCCAUUAUUUACACCUUAGCAUCAUUUGGUAGCCAUUGUCUCCUAUGUUUUCUAUCUAAGCAUAUGUGCAAGCUUUCAAAUCCAAACUCUUAGCACAUAUGUAGGGGGAGCCAAUGCUACCAAUUUGGGUUUAUGAAACUUGUCCAUAUCCUUUUCACAUGAUAAAAUGUUUGGGCAAGCAACAUAAACCUAAAAAGUUUUUAUUGAAUAUCUUUGUGAAAAGGUUGUCAUCAAUUACCAAAAAGGGGGAGAUUGAAAGCCCUAGUUUGGUUUUGGAUAAUUGAUGAAACCUAUGUGUACUAACCUUUGUCAUGAGUGAAAUAUAAAGAUAGGUUGGUACCCACCAAGUGAUGGAGCUAGAUGAUGGUCAUGGUGAUGGAGGUGACCAAAAGAUGAUAUUCAAGUGCUCCAACUUGGAAAAGAAGAAAGAGAAAAACAAAAAGGGCUCAAGGCAAAGGUAUUUUUUUAAUAGGGCCAUUUUGUUUUGCCACUCAAGACACCUAGUGGGUGUGAGUGGAUUUAGGAUAGAUAAUCGUACUAUAAAGAGGGAAAAUCUUUAAUUGCAAUGGUUAUCUAGUGCCACUAAGUAUGAGUCUCACUUGCAUUUACUUAGCGCUUAGUGACGUGGUGAGAUGUAUGAGAAAGCCUAUGAAAAUAUUUGUGAAAAACUAACCUAAGUGUCCAAUUUAUUUUGGAAUAUUUUGGUAAAGUUAAUUAAUUAAAAAGGCUUAAAAUGGUGCUCAAAUUUCUCUACUUGCAAGCAGUCGCAACGUAUUAUAAAUAGUCAAAAGCUUAAAAUAGAUAAGGAGAAAAAGUGCUUCUGUUAGCCAGUAGUGGUGCAAGUGCAAGUAUGCUUGUCGGCAUGCACUUGGGACAGAGGAGGUUCGAGCGGACUUUUCUCCAAGCUGUGGCCAAACUGGUCCGUUUCUCUCCUCUGGUUUUUGUUUUUUUUUUUGAAGCUCGGCAGCUUCUGGCCUGCAUGCACGCAUGGAGUGGAGAGGCAGUGCGGCAGUUGCAUGGGGCCCCUGUCCCUUCCCAUUUCUUUAGUUGACCGUCGAGUGAAUGCUAGCGGUGCCAUCUGUAGGAAGCUUCAUGGAAGGAGCCGCUCACCGCACUCGCACAGAAAUAGGGCAGGGUUCGCUGGGGCCCACGCUGUGAAGGGCAGAGGCGUUUGCCAUUUCUUUUGCUUGCCCGUUUGCCACUCCUACCCGUGGGACAUCUGCCCGUUGGGACUUUCGGCCUAGGGCUUGGAUAAGACUGAGGCUACCCCUUCGGUCUCCUUCACUCUUGCCCAACAGAACAACACGCACAUCCCUUUCUUCUUCCAAAAAAAGGAACAGAGGAACUCAAGCUCUCUCUCCAUUCUCUCUCACUCCCCAAGCUUUGUGCUCCAUUCAAGUGAGAGAUUGAGCUCUAGGAUAGAUCUGAGAGCUUCAAGAGCAUCACCUCCCUCUCCUCUCCAUUCCCAUGGUUGGUUUUCUUUGGUGAGAGGAGUUGAGGAAACCCUUUGUGAUUCAUAUUUGUGGCACUAGGCUGUGAUUGCAAUUGUGGAUUUCUUAUUACUCUUGGUGAUUGCCGUCACCAAGACGGUUGUGGAUUUGUUGAGAUUGGUGAGGGGAUUUGGUGAUUGUGUCCGCCCCUAAAUCAAGGUGAUAUUUGUGAGGGGUUCUUGGGCUUAUUCCCCGGCGGAGUGCCAAAACCCACUCUAGCGGCUUGCUCGUGUCAUUGAGCUACCUCACUUGUAGGUAGGUUCUUACGGUGCCCAUUUGUUGGGCUAGGUUUGUGAAACACCUAUUAGCCGCCGAACCACCAAUUGUUGGUCGACACAACGGGGACUAGCAUGCCGGCAAGCACGUGAACCUUGGGAGAAAAAUAUUGGUGUCAAUAUUGUGAUUGGUAUUCUCUCGGUGAAUAUAUUGAUAUACAUUGUGAUUGGUUCAUCCUCCACACAUCGGUAUAAUUAUCUCUCACCUCUUUACUUUCUUGCAAAUUAGUUGUAACUAGUAGAUCCUAGUUUUAGCUAGUUGUAACUAGUUGUAAAGAGUACUGACAUAGCCUUUGCUUGUACCUAGAGAUCAAAGCAACUAGAAAUUUUGGAUAGGUGGCUUGCAACCCUUGUAGAGCUAGAGCAAAAUUGCUUUACGCCAUUUAUUAUAUUAAUCCUUUGCUCUAGUGCCUUGUAGAAUUUUUAAAUAGGCUAUUCACCCCCCCCCCUCUAGCCAUAUUAGGACCUUUCAGUGAGUGCUCUAAAAAAAUGAAAAAUACGAGGAAAUAAAAAGGAGCAAGUGCCUGGAACCUCGAAGAAAAGAAAAAGUGAGACGAGAGGUAAAAAUGGACAAGUGUUCGAUAGUAGAAUUAAGGGUACAAGAUACCCACCUGAGAGAAAAGAAAAAUAAAAUAUAGAGCAUCUCAUUCUCCUCAAAAAGCUUCAAUGUGCAAGAAAGGUAUGUAUCCCCUUAAAAGAGCAAAAGUAGAAUUAGACUUUCACCAUUGUUAUCACCAUACACCAUUCAUUCGCCACACAUGCACAUCUUGAUUUGACUUAUUGACUUGUUUCUCUGGAUGCAUGGUUUCACUACGCAAUAAAUGUCUUGUAAGUAUGUAUGAUUUAUCUCCCACCUAUGAGCUCCAAAUAUCAAAACCUUAUUAGAGUAGGGUGAGAGAGAAGGCAAUAUCACUAUGCCUCAUACCAAAAAUACCACAUACUUUGAGAGAAGGCAUAUACCAUUACUGCCUUGGAAAGGAUCCAGAAAUACCACAAAAGAGAGAUUUGAGAGAGUCAUACAAGGAAUCUCUGAGUUUUAAAAUCUGCAAAAACUCUAGAGCUAUAGCUGAUCAAGAAUAAGAGACAUGGCGCUUGACUUGACUGUUCUAUCUUUUAACUACUCAAGACACAAGUGACGGUUGCAAGCCCCAUGGUGAAAGAUAAAAUGAGUAAGUUUUAAGUCCUAACAAUUUACUCUCACUCAGAGAUGAGAUCUUGCUUGAACGCAUGUGUACUUUUAAAGCAUGAAACCACUACAGAAACUCUUGAGUCCAUCCUUGCUCAGGGACGAGCAAGAGGUAAGCUUGGGGGAGUUGUUGACGGUCCUUAAGUACCAAAUAUAAUCAUCAAAUAAAUAAAGAAAAGGAUCCAAAUGCAACCAACACCCAGACUUAGGGUUUUAUCUGACAGAAUUCCACAAGUUUUGGUGUUUAUCUAUUUCUGCAGAGGGUUAUCAUGAAAUAUGGAGGAAAGGCCCACAUGUCGGGUUUACAUAGAGAUAUUAACGUGCCGCGCAAUUUUCUAUCAUCUAGAAGACUCCAGAAGCCACGGGAACAAACGGGAGGCCGAGCGGGCCCGGGGACAGGGCGCCCGCCCUCCCCCCUUGGGCGCCCGCCCAGGUUUCUCGGCCAAUCAGGCCCCACCUCACGGAUUAUGCUCCACCGACCUAAAGGAUUAAGGAAAACGGUGCGAUUAAGGUCAGUUUGAUCCGAUGGCCAACGUCCAUUUGGAGGGGCUAUAUAAGCAGGCCCCCUGGCCCUUGGAGGAGGGCAAUCCCAUUAUUCAUUAGCAUAUUUUUCAGAGAGGAUUCAGAGAGAGAGGUCCGUCUAGGGUUCCAACCUCAUAGGGCUUAGCAUCCAAUGUGAGAUUAGAAUUAGUUAUUCUAGAUUGAGAGAGAUAGUGUGGAGGUGUAGAUCGGAGAAAGCCCGGCCUGUCGGUGUCUACUCCGAGGUUGUACCUGCGGGAUCAAGUCUCCUAACCCGAGGCUUGCUCCUAGGAUUCUUCAGUAUUUCGACUUCUAAAUUCUAGUACUUCUUUGUUCUUAUUGUUCUUUGGUUUAUGAGUUUACUUUAAUCUCUUCAGGUAGAGUUUAGAGUAAUUAUUGUUAGCGUAAACGUGUUGUUUGUGCAAGGGUACUCAUAGAUAUCCCCUGUCUAGCCGGACCGUGGUAGUAGCGAGGAACGUGACAUUUCCGUAGCUACCUUUGUAGCCCUCAAUCCCGUUAGUAGGAUCGGUAGGGUUUAUAGGUGUUGACGGUCCUUAAGUACCAAAUAUAAUCAUCAAAUAAAUAAAGAAAAGGAUCCAAAUGCAACCAACACCCAGACUUAGGGUUUUAUCUGACAGAAUUCCACGAGUUUUGGUGUUUGUCUAUUUUUGUAGGGGGUUAUCAGGAAAUAUGGAAGAAAGGCCCACAUGUCGGGUUUACAUAGAGGUAUUCACAUGCCGCGCAAUUUUCUGUCAUCUAGAAGACUCCAGAAGCCACGGGAACGAACGGGAAGGCGAACGGGCCCGGGGACAGGGUGCCCGCCCUCCCCCCUUGGGCGCCAGCCCUGACCUAGAGUCCAAUCAGGACUCUUUGGGGAUUACGCUCCACCGACCUAAAGGAUCAAGGAUAACUGUUCAAUCAAUGUCGGUUUGAUCCGACGGCCCAGAUUCACUUGAAGGGACUAUAUAAGCAGACCCCUGGCCCCUGGAGGAGAACAAGUUCAUCAUAGAGUUGAGAGGAGCCCUCGAAGGAAUACCUAUCCUCUAAAUAGACUUAGGGCUUAGCAUCCAAUGUGAGUAGAAUUAGAUCUUCUAGUUUCUACUAGAUUGAGAGAGAUAGAGUGGAGGUGUAGAUUGGAGGAAGCCUGGCCUAUCGGUGUCUACUCCGAGGUUGUACCUACGGGAUCAAGUCUUCUAACCCGAGGCUUGCUCCUAGGAUUCUUCAGUAAUUCGACUUCUAAAUUCUAGUAAGUUCUUGUUUUAUUGUUCUUUGGUUUAUGAGUUUACUUUAACCUCUUCUGAUUGAGUUUAGAGUAAUCAUUGCUAGCGUAAACGUGGUGUUUUGGCUAGGGUACUCAUAGAUAUCCCCUGACUAGCUGGACCAUGGUAGUAGCGAGGAACAUGACAUUUCCGAGUUACCUUUACAGACCAUAUCUCGUUAGGAGGAAGGAUAGGGUUUAUAGGUGCGGGUUGAACAUCCUCUGUGGUGUCUAGAUUCCGUAAGCUUCCCCAAUAGAAUAGUAGAUCAUCCUUACCAAGGUUAGAACGAGACUACGGUUGCAGUCUUCUCUAUACAUCACUCACAUCGAGAAACAUUCUUUGUAGCCUAAAGGGUAGUAGCAAUAGAUUUGGUUAGUCAGAUGCAUGCUUUCUCCCAGUGGUAAAAAUAUAAAUACGAUACUCUGGAUAACCUCCAAGGUGAAGAGCUCAUCGAUAUCCAUGUGCUUGCAGAUCAUUUUCUGAUGGCGUUACCAAAUAUCGACAAGCAUUUCUGGUGCCGUUGCCGGGGAGAAAGACGGUUUGCUGAGAUAACUUUUAGUCUUGCUAUUAUCUUGUAUUAUACUUUUAUUCUUUUAUCUUUUUAUUUUUUUCUAUCUUUAUGGAUAACUCAAAUUCCACACCUAUUAUUGAAUUUUUUGCACCUUCAGGGACCAGCCAUAGACCAUGGGAGUCAACAAGUCCUAUAGCUAAUUAUGAUCUGUGUCCUGAGUUGAUUGCAAUAGGUCAAAACCAACCCUUUCCUAUAGCUGAAGUCCUAUCUUUUAAUCAACAAGAUAAUGAACUUUUAGCUACACCUAUGGAAUCUAUUAAUCUUUCUAUAAAUUCUGGUUUAAACCUAGCCCUACAAGACCAUGUUUUUUCUCGAUAUUUUCACAUUGGUCUUAAUCAUAUAACCUUUGGUAGAGUCUUUCUUUCUUUAUCUAUUAGUAAAGGAAGGUAUGUCUUCAUUCGUGGACAUCCUUCUUACUUGCACUAGUCUUCAUAAAAAUAUCCUAGAAAUAGAGAAGGAAUCAUCUCCCAGACGAGGAAAGGAAGUUUCAAUAACCCAUUUCCAAACAUUUCAAUCCCAUGAUUCGGCUAUCCAACCCAUCCUUGAGCCUAAUAAUUUCUACUAUGCCCUUUCUCUUGAACCUCCCGAUGAUCCUAUGAUUCUCUCUAGACAUCCCAUUCAUAAGAGUCACCAAGACCACAAGGAGGAUCGAGAAGAGCAACAUCAAUGGCUAGAGGGCAUUAAAAAUCCAUGUGCUAUCACCAUUGAAUGGAUGGAUAAAACAAACUUGAGAGACAAUCCUAGAGGAAUUUUAAGCAUUCAUGAAGAAUCAUCCUUGGAGUUUGAGAAUGAGAGAAACAACAGUGAGCAUGGAAAUUAUUUCAUAAAUACCUCACCAAAUCCUUGCUCAUAUAAAACAUCUACCCAAUCAAUUGGUCUCUCCAACAUCACCGCAUUUGAAAUCUCCAACACCCUUUUCCUUUCUAUUUAUAAAAACUUUAAAAGGGCGGUUGUCGAUGCAUAUGUCUAUAAUAAAUAUUGCAGAUCUCGUUGAUCUUGAUAUAGGUCAGCGUCAGAGGAGAAACCACUUCGCCGACAUAAAUUGAUGGUUUCCCAAGGACAAGCUUAGUGUCCUAAAAACAAGCACUUAUCAGAUCGUGACAUGAACUUCUAAUUAUUUGCAACAUUGCCUUGUGUAUGGAGCAUAUAAAGAUAAUUGUAGAAAUAUUCCUUCGGGUAUUCUUGUCACUAACCUUUCUAGGAUUGGAGCAAGAAGAUCGGAUGAAUGACAAGCACAAGGUAUGUCCAACCAAUCAUCAUACAACAUUGAAUUAAAUUCAUCCAAACUUGAAUUUUGCAAAAUUCAAGCUUGGGGGAGUACUUUACAUAAGAACGUCCUUUGCCAUGUUGCUACGUUGGUUGUCCCUACCUUUGAGACAUGCUCAAAUACUAAUCACACUACUUCAUCUCCACUUGAGUAGAUCUCUAUAAAUGCUCUCAUGCUACCUUUAUUUGCUUUAGUAUAUGUCUAGGUUUGGAGUAGUUUCAUUUAUCUCUUAAUUAAGCAUGGUGCUUAGUUUAGGAAUGAUGAUCUUACUUCCAAAGGUUUUUUAAAUUAAGCAUGGUGCUUAGGUUAAAAUGCCCUCCUAAAUCAAAUUAGACAUGGUGUCUAGGUUGAUUUUUGAGCCGAUAGUAUGCUAUAGUAGAUAUGGGAUAUUUUGUUGGACUAACCCCUGUAGGAAAACUUUCAAAAUCAACCUGGGAAGUCCUGAGAUACAAACUCAUUGGACAUAAAAGAGACACAUGAAGUUUAACAAUUUGCACAAGAAGGACAUAGCUCAUUCAUCAUAAAGAGAUGAUCUAUGGUGGGUGCCACAAACAUGAUGCACAACCGCUAAGAAAGGAAAGCUUCCACAAGGUGAUACUAUACCAUCACUCUUCAAUUAAGGUAACAUCUUAAGGUACUUGACUAUCGCUUUUAUAAGUUUCUCCUUGGUUCUAGCAUUCACAUAAAAUAAAGAGACAAACAUGUAUGAUUUAUAACUCCAAAUUAACCAACUCAACUGAUUCAGCAUGUUUAGUCCUUUAAUCAUUGUUCCUAGUAAGCUAAAAUGUUGCACAUUCAAUCUUUGGAAGAUAUAAACAAAACAUAAAUAUAGAUAGAUUAUCUUUCCAUUAGGUUGAGCCAUCUGAUCUGAAAAAUGCUACACUCAUGAUCCAUCAACUUUGUCUUGCUCACUAUGCUUAAGGUUAGAGAAGAACAAAAACACUUUUGGUUCUUUUGCUGUUUUCCACAAACAAGGCCCAUGCACUUGAUCUCUGCCUUGUCUCUAUGAACAGGUACACUUCAAGCAAAACAUGGAGAAGUUUUACAACUCCCAGACUCCACCAAGUGAAGGACCUGAAUCUAUGAGCACAAACACACCGAGCAAGAUAUUGCCAACACCACACUUCGAACUGCUGGGCAAACAAAGAACAUGGGUGACUCCGUAUCAAUAGGUGCAGACGUCAAGGUCCACACCUAAUCAAAUGAUGCCCCUAAAGGAUGAAGACGGUGAGAAGUCUUGUCCAGAAGACUUAAAACAUUGGAUCCUUGUCGGAGGAGGUCAAGAUCGUCGACUCAAGUCGCCUUUCCUGAUCAAGAAGGAUGACCCUGGUGUUCCAAGCAUUGAGUGUACAAUCAAUGGAUACUCUUUUCAGAAGACACUCUACUACACCGGAUCUGACGACAACAUAAUGGCAGCAGUCACUUAUCAGCUCUUGCAUGGAACCAUGCCCCUACAACCAACAUACAUUCAGCUCUAGAUGAUUCUCAAGUCAUUGACAUGGGAGAAGACGAGUACGAUCCACCCAUCAUCCUUGGAAGACCAUUCCUCAACACUAUUAAAGCCAUCAUCUAUAUUGGAACCAAAGAAGUCCACAUGCACUUCCCAUCUGACAAGGUACGCCACUACUUUAAUGAUUCUAACUAUAUAGUUGAAGAAUCUAAGCAGAUCAGGAUGAGAAGAAGGCGACGCAACCGACACCAGAGGAGGCAAAUCAUCAAGGACGGAUGGGCAGACUACGAAGGAGAAGUGGUAAGGUCUGAAGACAUACAGCUUGAACAGAACCGUCCGGAGGAGACCGUAGCACCGAGUUAGAUGUGGAAAGAGAAGAUAGUUAUAGCCGCCGGAACCACCAACUACGCCAUCCAGCGAAUCCCAGGACGACUAAGAAAACGGAGAAUCCCGUUCAGAGGACUUAAAAACACCGAACGCCUUGCCAAGAGGUAAACUUGGUAGUUAUCCUUUUUCCUUUCAACUAUUUAAAAUAGUUUGCUUAGUUAAUCAGGUUCAUAUCAUCUUGAAAAGAAAAUAAAAAUAUUAAAGAUAGUAAGCCCCAUGUGAGUAUGCUCAUGGCAUAAAACCCAUAAGUACAUUCACUGUGGUGGUAUAAAAAUAAAAUGAAUAUACUCCUGUCCUAUAAAAAUGAAAAUAUAAAAAUAAAUUUAUGAUCCUACCAAAGAGAAUAAUAUUUAUUAGAGGAAGCUCAACAUGAUAAAGGCAAAGAGAUUUUAUGCUAACACUUAACCAGUUCCACAAAGCUUUGUUGUCUAUUUGAGCUCCACAGAAUUCAAGGAUCAAAGAAGACUAGCAGACGGAGGACAUCCUAAUCGCUGUCAGGGUGUUGCCGACAUUCAAAUACACCUCCGCCACCUGCUAGCUACAUCAGAAGAAAUUACGUCAAAAUCCAGCUUGGGGGAGAGCACCCCCAUUUAUCUAGCUAAGUGUUUCUACUCGCGUUUAAACUUUACUCAGAUAAUAAAAAGAUGCAUAAUCAUAAAAAACCCAAAUAAAGAUUUUGUGCUUAUAGAUAUAUAUCUUUUGCUUAGUAAGUUUAAUAAAUAAAUAAAGUGGCUAUGCUAAACUGAAUCUUAAUAGUAAAACUCUAGCAUGGAUAUGAUGAAUAGUUGCUCUUCCUAAUUUUCAAAUUUUAGUUUUCUCUCUAGUUUAGACAUAACUGUUAUAAUUUAAAGCUUGCUCUAAGCCUGAACUUGUGGGAAGAGAACUUGAUCUGAAGUCUAAGUUGUUAACAGAUAUGAUAUGGGAAGGCUGCGCUGCUGUUUAUCUGUUCCUAGAGAUGCUAGAAUUCUAUAGAAUUUUAUCUUUGAAAAUCUUUAAAAUAACACAUGAUGAGUUUCUAUAUGAUGAGAGUUUAAAUUCCUACCACAGCCAUAUAUACAUGCUUGCUAGACUUUGAGCCACACAUUUACUUUUUACUGCUUAUGAGCAUUGAUUGUGGUCAAGCUGUGUAGACCCAUAGGAGCUUGUCAUGCGGUUAAAAUCAAGAUUCACUUGCACGUUCACUCAUACAUGCUGCUUCUACUCCGAAAGAACGCAUCCACAUAUAUCCACUCAUUUCCAUCUCCAGAGCCACCUAAAAACAUUCUACUCCUAAUUCGGGAGAGAAUGGCCAAAGACAUUUCUGUUUUUCCCCUAUGAAAUAAAUGCUCGAGUUAUCUUGGUUACUACCACUUGCUAUAUUAUUUCAGGAGAUGAGUGCUCUAAAAAAAAGAAAGAAAAAGAGAGAGAGAGAGAGAGAAAGAGAAAGAUUACGAGGAAAUAAAAAGGGGCAAGUGCCCGAAACCUCGAAGAAAAGAAAAAGUGAGACGAGAGGUAAAAAUGGAAACGUGUCUGACAGUAGAAUUAGGGGUACAAGAUACCCACCUGAGAGGAAAGAAAAAAAAGAAAAUAUAGAGCAUCUCAUUCUCCUCAAAAAGCUUCAAAGUGCAAGAAAGGUAUGUAUCCCCUUAAAAGAGCAAAAAGUAGAAUUAUACUUUCACCAUUGUUAUCACCAUCAUCACCAUACACCAUUCACUCGCCACACAUGCACAUCUUGUAAGUAUGUAUUAUUUGUCUCCCACCUAUGAGCUCCAGAGAUCAAAACCUUAUUAGAGUAGGGUGAGAGAGAAGGCAAUAUCACUAUGCCUCACACCAAAAAUACCACAUACUUUGAGAGAAGGCAUAUACCAUUACUGCCUUGGUAAGGAUCUAGAAAUACCACAAAAGAGAGAUCUGAGAGAGUCAUACAAGGAAUCUCUGAGUUUUAUUUGAAAAUCUGCAAAAAACUCCAGAGCUAUAGCUGAUCAAAGAACAAGAGACAUGGCACUAGACUUGACCGUUCUAUCUUUUAACUACUCAAGACACAAGUGACGGUUGCAAGCCCUAUGGUGAAAGGUAAAAUGAGUAAGUUUUAAGUCUUAACAGUUUAUUCUAACUCACAGAUGAGAUCUUACUUUUAAGGCAUGAAACCACUGCAGAAACUCUUGAGUUCAUCCUUGCUGAGGGACGAGCAAGAGGUAAGCUUUUGGGAGUUAUUGACGGUCCUUAAGUACCAAAUAUAAUCAUCAAAUAAAUAAAGAAAAGGAUCCAAAUGCAACCAACACCCAGACUUAGGGUUUUAUCUGACAGAAUUCCACGAGUUUUGGUGUUUGUCUAUUUCUACAGGGGGUUAUCCAGAAAUAUGAAAGAAAGGCCCACACGUCGGGUUUACAUAGAGGUAUUAACGUGCCGCGCAAUUUUCUGUCAUCUAGAAGACUCCAGAAGCCAUGGGAACGAACGGGAAAGCAAACGGACCCGGGGGCAGGGCGCCCGCCCUCCCCCCUUGGGCGCCCGCCCUGACCUGGAGUCCAAUCAGGACUCUCUUCGGGGAUUACGCUCCACCGACCUAAAGGAUCAAGGAUAACCGUUCAAUCAAUGUCGGUUUGAUCUGACGGCCCAGAUUCACUUGAAGGGACUAUAUAAGCAGACCCCCUAGCCCCUGGAGGAGAACAAGUUCAUCAUAGAGUUGAGAGGAGCCCUCGAAGGAAUACCUCUCCUCUAAAUAGACUUAGGGAUUAGCAUCCAAUGUGAGUAGAAUUAGAUCUUCUAGUUUCUACUAGAUUGAGAGAGAUAGAGUGGAGGUGUAGAUCGGAGGAAGCCCGGCCUGUCGGAGUCUACUCCGAGGUUGUACCUGCG